CUUGAUGGCCGAAAAGCAACUGGAAAUCCUCCGCGGGUACGAGCUGCGGCUCUUGCGCUGCACCCUCGCUCCCCCACCGUCCGAUCUUCGCAUUCAAUCGCAACCGUUGAACGAAGAAAGCCAAUGCUCUAUCCUUCCACUCCACGAGCACAUCAACAGCCUCAUCAACUCCAUCGAGUCCGGCCACUAUCUCCAGGCUCUGUCCUCCGACGAGGCUAAACACGCUCUCGACACGCUCGAUUUCGUCGACAUCAACGACUCAGCCGAGUGUGCCGACCGCGUCUACUCCGAGCUGCUCCAGCUUGUCGAAGCGUCUAUAGUGAACGAUUCCGAAAUUGACGUGGAUAAGGCUUGUCGAGUUAUUCUGCUCAUGUGUCUUUCAAUUGCUGCCCUUUUUUGGUUCACUCAGUGUAACGUGACUGGGUGAGUUUCUUAUUUAUAAAUUUUUAAAUAAUUGCAAUUAAUUAAUAAUAAAUAUUAGUAAAAAAUUAAUCAAAAAAAAGGUUUAGUGAUGAACCUUGUCGAGGUGCCUUCUAAUAGAAAAGAGCUCACGGCAAGAUGAAAUGCAAAGUAAGUUGUUUUAUGGUUGGGCGGUGUGUAGCCGUCUUGUUGAAGGCCAUAAGAUGUUAAGCAUAUUGCUGUUUAAUUUUUAAAUCAUUCUCAGUAAUAAUUCCUUUAGUAGAUUGAUGAUAAGAGAUUGCAUUGCAGAUGAUAACUGAGCACAAUUUCUGUAGUUGUAUCCCUGUACAUCCAUCUUAAUAUCCUCAUUAUAUUCACAUGCCUUUUACGGGUGUUAUUUCUGGAUGCAGAAUGCUUUGUUCCACGUCUGGAUACCAAAUGCUUUGUUCCACAAAGCUGAGCUGGUUGAAAAGCUAGCUGAUGAGGUCAACAUGUCCCUUAAGUAAUUUGAGGAUGAACACUGUGUUCCCGAAAGUCUUACUCUAAUGAUACUUAAAGAAGCAAUGAGAAUGGAUGUUGCAGCAGCUUUGCUGAACUCAACCCCAGUUCCAAAAAUGGAACAUGUGAAAAUGCAUUGUUUUUUUUUUUUUUUUUCUCUCUCUUUAUGACUUCUUUGGUUGGGAAUGUAUUAGAUAUUCACCUAAUCAGUAGGCCUUGAAGGGAUCCCAUGUUAGCCCCUUGAUGUUGGUCUGUAACUAAGUAAAUACUUGACCUUGAAAAAGCUUUUGGAGGCAUCAGUUCUCUCUGACUGUGUGCUACUUUUUGGAUCUGUUGAUUUGGUCAUUUGCUGAUUUAUAGUUAUUUUUCUGAUUCAGGAUGGGAUAUGGCUCCAUACAUAUAUAGGCAAUUGAUUCACAGCAGUCGUCAUGCUUCAUUGUAAUUAUAUAUACAAUACAGCAUCAGUUUUUCUUGAUUUUAAAUCUCGUAUUCUGAAGUGGUACUUCUGAUUCUCACAUGAUUUUUCCAUCUUUCAGCUAAAGUUUUUCUGUGAUCUCUUCCGUAUUAGAUGGGAGUUCACCCGUAGUCGCACAAAAGGGCGUGCUUUAGAGAUGAUGGACAAACUGGUAUGAUCUGUGAGCCUUUUCUUCUUAAAUAUUUUGUUACCUAAAUCAUUUUCAUUCAAAUUUACAAGAGUUGCCUAUGGAUCUAUAGAAGAUUCCAAACUUUCUGCAGCUAGUAGUUUCUUGGUUUCCGUACUGUCCAUCGGGUAAAGAUUGAAUGUGCAUCAUUUAUAAACUUGUCGGGAUCUUCCUUCUUAGCUUUGAGAUUGCUCCUGCAUAUAGGUAGAACCAAAGGCACAAAUGGUACUUGUUGCAAACACAAGCUCAUCCAACACUUCUGAUGUCUGCCCUUCAAUAAACCAAGUCAUUCAUACACAUGAUUCUACUAUUGGUGAUGCCUCUGAUGUUUUUGUGACCCCAAAAUUAUUGGGGAAUAGUCAUGAAUCUGAAUCUGGAGUCCAAUGCAUUCAUGCUGGUGGCUCAGCAGCCCAUUUAAAGGCAAUCCAACAGGCAGUGAUCUUGUCGAGGUGCCUUCUAAUAGAAAAGAGCUCACGGCAAGAUGAAAUGCAAAGUAAGUUGUUUUAUGGUUGGGCGGUGUGUGGUCCUCUUGUUAAAGGCCAUAAGAUGUUAAGCAUAUUGCUAUUUAAUUUUUAAAUCAUUCUCAGUAAUAAUUCCUUUAGUAGAUUGAUGAUAAGAGAUUACAUUACAGAUGAUAACUGAGCACAAUUUUUGUAGUUGUAUCCCUGUACAUCCAUCUUAAUAUCCUCAUUAUAUUCACAUGCCUUUCACGGGUGUUAUUUCUGGAUGCUGAAUGCUUUGUUCCACUUUUGGAAACCAAAUGCUUUGUUACACAAAGCUGAGCUGGUUGAAAAGCUAGCUGAUGAGGUCAACAUGUCCCUUAAGUAAUUUGAGGAUGAACACUGUGUUCCCGAAAGUCUUACUCUAAUGAUACUUAAAAAAGCAAUGAGAAUGGAUGUUGCAGCGGCUUUACUGAACUCAACCCCAGUUCCAAACAUGGAACAUGUGAAAACCAAAAAUGCAUUGUUUUUUUUCUCUUUAUGACUUCUCUAGUUGGGGAAUGUACUAGAUAUUCACCUAAUCAGUAGGCCUUGAAGGGAUCCCAUGUUAGCCCCUUGAUGUUGGUCUGUAACUAAGUAAAUACUUGACCUUGAAAAAGCUUUUGGAGGCAUCAGUUUCUCUCUGACUGUGUGCUACUUUUUGGAUCUGUUGAUUUGGUCAUUUGCUGAUUUAUAGUUUGUUUUCUGAUUCAGGAUGGGAUAUGGCUCCAUACAUAGAGACAAUAGAUUCACAGCAGUCAUCAUGCUUCAUUGUAAGUAUAUAUACAAUACAGCAUCAGUUUUUCUUGAUUUUAAAUCUCAUAUUCUGAAGUGGUACUUCUGAUUCCCACAUGAUUUUUCCAUUUUUCAGCUAAAGUUUUUCUGUGAUCUCUUACGUAUUAGAUGGGAGUCCACCCGUAGUCGCACAAAAGGGCGUGCUUUAGAGAUGAUGGACAAACUGGUAUGAUCUGUGAGCCUUUUCUUCUUAAAUAUUUUGUUACCUAAACCAUUCUCAUUCAAAUUGACAAGAGUUGCUUAUUUAUCGAUAGAAGAUUCCAAACUUCUGCAGCUAGUACUUUAUUGGACCCAAAAGCUUUUUUGCUUUUUCUAAGCUGCUAAUCAAGACUAGGUUUCUCUCCCUUAUAUCGCUAGAUAUGCCAUUAAUCGUUUGAUUUAAUUGUCUAGAGAGAUUAGAUACUUGCAUCUUUGCUUUUCACUUCACAAGUGAUUUCAUGUGCUAUCCUGUAUUCUGGUUCAAGAUUUUUGAUGGUUGCUUACUAUCAUAUUUUGCUUUGUUUCAGGUUGAGGGCAUUUCUAACUCUUCUCCCGGUGUGACUCAAAGUAUUCCCUUUUGUUAUGUGAUUUGCAUUCCAACUAUUCCUGCCCUGCGAAAGUAAAACUAUUUCUUCUGCAUCUUUGAAUGAUUGUGAUUUAAUUUUCUUGUCAUUUUGCCAACUAUCAUUAUGCUGUCAUUGUUUCAUAUCUUAUUUGACAUAUGUUGAUUUGGAUAGAUUUUAAUUGCUCUGUUUAUUCUCUUUAUAAUCUGUCUAUUUCGAUUUUUCUUCAUUUUAGGGAAUAUGCUAAACUUUUAGUAAGCCGUGGCUUGAUUGGAGAGGCUAUUAAAAAUUUUGAGGAUCUGGUGUUGUGGGAUAGUCUAAUACUGCAAUUGGUAUGAUGUCAUAGAUAACCAUUACCCUAAUCUCUCUGUCUAUCUCUCUCUCUCUCUCUUUCGUGUUGCUAAUGGGAGUUGGUUUUGUGUAUGAUGUAAAAAACAGCCUAUUGGGGAAGAAAGCAGCAGCUGUUGAACUAAUAAAAGCAAGGCUGUCUGAAAAGCCUAAUGACCCUACAUUAUGGUUUGUUGAUGAGCCUUUUCUAUGAUCCAUUUUAUAGUUACUUCUCAUUUCAGUUAAAUCCAUUGUUGAUGUCACUUAUUGCAAUCUAGGGAUGAUUGUUCAUUGGAUGUGAGGAUAUUGUCAGAAGAAAAUGAAACCUUUUAAUUUUAUCUUUUACUUGCUGUAGCCGACUUAAAAGGUCACUGUGCGUUCUUACUGAUUGCUUUUGGUCUUGCAUUUGAGUCAGUGGAUUUUAUACUCAUAUUCUGACAUGUAUUGUUAGCCUUCUGACGGUUCUGCACCUUGGUCCUAUAUUAUCUUCAGCAGUAUUAUCUAAAAGAUCAUUUUUUGCCGAAGAAUAUUUGCAUUCUAAACUAGAAAAGGAGGGGCCGCCCGGGCCCGGGGGGGGGGGGGGGGGUGUGUGUGUGUGAAGGAAGCAUCAGGAGGUUGUUUUCCACUUAUCCUCUUCCCUGCCUGCAUUUUAGAUGAUUCUGAUGCACCAGGUGCCGUGAAAUGGUUGAGAAAUACAUACCAUCAAGUGAAUUCUGAAAAUCAUAUCCUUUUUGAGAAUAUUUGGUGCUAGACAUUUGAAUAUGUGGCCACAAUUUAAACAAUAAAGAUUUUCUGCACUGAUUUCUUAUAAUGGAUAUAUGCAUGUAAUUAUAAUAUGAUAUCUUUUGAUUAUUGACCCAUUUGUUUAGAAAGAAGGGGAAAAAAAAAACAUGGUUGAAAGACAACUGUUACUUGACCUUAUCUUGGUCUGUUCACUGCCGUUUGUUUCCUAUAACUUCUGGUGAUAAUGUAGCCAGAAUGAUGAGUUGAAUUGUGGUUUACUGACUUGUGAUACAUUUUGUAGGUGUUCAUUUUUGUUUUCUAAAUUUGUUAUCUAAAGGAAUGACAAGUUGACAACUCAGCCUCUCUCUCUCUCUCUCUCUCUCUCUCUCUCUGUGUGUCUGUGUCAGGGAUCUGAUUUGUGGAAAGAAAGAGAUCGGUUUGAAAGGUUUUCAUAUGCAUCCUUGGAACUUUGUAAGGUUUACAUGGAAAUUUCUUCCUCUUCUGGUAGCCGUCAAGAACUCUUUGCUGCUGAGAUGCACCUGAAGAACGUACUUAAACAAGUAAAAUACCUUAUAAUUCGAUAUUUAAGACACUUACAGAUGGUAUUACAUUGACAGCAGUAAAACAAAGAAGCAACUGAAAGUUAUCUUCAUAUGAGAAUGAAAGCUUUUCAGCAGCAUAAGCCUUUCACUAUUCAAUUCCAAACACGUUCCUCAACAUGAUAACAAAUUCGUAGACCUUUUCUGGGUCUGGAAGGAUCCUGUAACAGUUUCUCUUUGCAUGCACUUGUUCAUCCAUGCUGAGAAUUUGGGGCACUCAUUCUCAACCUUAAAUCCCCCAAAUUCCUCAACCGCGUAAAACCAUCAAGUCAGUGGAAUGGCAAUCACAUCAACGAAUCCAAAGCUGUCCCCGCCAAAGAAAUCCUUCUCCCCUAAAGCUCCCUCAAGUUGCUUCAAAAUCUCUAUAAAUUCAUUCUUCGCCGGGGACCUCGCCCUUCGUUUUGCAUAUGUUGCAGACUGGAUCGAAUACCUGCCAAAAAAGUGGUGUCAUCUUUUAAGUUCGCAUUUAGAAAGAUACAAACAUUUACACUUGAGAAUUAUAGACUGACCUUCUUGUCAAUAAAAUCUGCCCAGAACCUUGCCUUAGCUCUCUCAGAAGCACAGGAUGGGAGAAGUGAUGGCGAAGGCCAAGUCUCGUCAAUUUAGUUGACUAUAAUAGUGGAUUAACACAAUGGUUCCCCAUCGUGCAGCAAAACUGGGACUUUCUUGUAGAUGGGGUUUGAUUUGAGCAACAGGUCACUCUUGCCCCCGAACAAGUUCUCAGCUCUGGCUUCAUAUCCAACUCCUUUCUCAGCCAAUGCAAUCUUUGCUCUCAAGCAAAAUGGGCUAACCCAACAGUCCAAAAGAACAACCUCUCCCUUUGACAUAUUCAACUAUCAAGGUUGGUAUUUAUAUAGGAGAAAAGAUGAAAUUCCCAAAGAUUGUGUCGCAAUCAAGGUUUGUUCGUUGGCACUUCGAUAAAGGAUGUGGCCUUGUUCUUAUCAUUUCUUAGUUUUUGAAGCUAAAUGUUUUACUUGGCUUUCAACAGGCACAAGAACAAGUUUGUCUUGUGUAAAUAAAAUAAAACCAUAAAAUUCCAUUAUUAGUGUAAAACCAAAAUAAUUAAAAUAAUAAAAGUGAGUUAGUCGUGCGUGUGGACCUCCUCUUUAUGAGUUUGUUAUCACACCAUAUUUGGUUUCUAUAAAUAAAAUAACUAAAACUCUCUUAUCUAAGUAAGAAUAUUGUUAUUUUGAAAUACCAACUCAAUCUCUAACAAAUCUUGAGAUAUAACUUAAGAUUCUUGAGCUUCCAAUAUAAAACAAGUAAGAUUAACAUAACUUUUUCACUUCCUUCCAUCAAAGAAGGGAAUAAGUUAUAUAAUUUAAUUUAUGUUUAAUUAAAUUAUUUUAAAUGGGUAAUAAUUAUAAAUUUUUCCACUUUAUUUAAUUAACUAGAUAAGACCAUAUUGUAAAUUCUUACAUUUAUCACUUUAAUCUCUUUCCUUUUUCAUUCCAACUCCGGUACAAACUAUUCCUUUUCAAAAAGUUGUACUCAAAUUGAUAAGUCUUGGAAGACCAAAACACUAUUUAAAAUUUAUUAUUUGCUUUAGUAGCUUUCAUGGGUGCAAGGUAAGGAACAAAACUCGGUGGAUUUUAUGACAAAAGCUUUAUCUUAUGUAGCACUUUUUUCGAUAUCUCGAACUUUACUCUUUAAGAAUGUUGUAUAAUAUUUCUACAAUAACAACAAACAAAUUAUAACCCUGAAAGAUCUAUAUACACCUCGAUCUCUAGCUAGUUCUCUACAAAAUAUGGCACUAAGUAACAAUGUAAUCGGAGCCAUCAACUUUGUUGCCGUACUUCUUUCAAUCCCAGUCAUCGGUGCCGGAAUCUGGCUUGCCACCGAGGCAGACAAUUCUUGUGUCAAGCUUCUACAAUGGCCAGUCAUUAUUUUGGGAAUCUUGAUUCUAGUCGUGGCUCUAGCAGGCUUUAUUGGAGGAUUUUGGCGCAUCCCUUGGCUCCUUAUACUUUAUCUCGUUGCCAUGCUCAUUCUUAUAAUAUUGCUGGCUUGUCUAGUUGUUUUCAUUUACAUGGUCACGAUUAAGGGCUCAGGUCACCUUGCACCCAGUAGAGCGUACUUGGAAUACCGCCUCGAUGAUUUUUCUGGAUGGCUACGUAGAAGAGUUCGAAGCCCUUACAAAUGGGAUCGGAUCAAAAGCUGUCUCAGCUCGACACAGAUGUGCCCUGAGUUGAACCAUGUAAAAAUGAGUUGCAAAUACUGUUUGGUUACUGAGAAACAGAGAGAAAAUUGAUGAAUAUUCCAGAUCUUAUUAUUUCAUUAAUUACAAAUGAGUAAAUCACAAGUCUUUAUACUUGCAUUUCAUUAGUAAAAGCUAUUAACGAAACUGAUCUGUAUUAACUAACUAAUACUAACUAACUAAUCACGCGAACUCUCAUUGCUGCAUAACAGAAUCAGCUGACUCAGCAUUGUUGACGUGGCAUUGCUGACGCACCUUAGCUUCUGACUUCUUCUCUCUUCUUAGCUCAGCACAAUGAGCUUUCUUCACAGCCCCUCUCAAACUCAAGGGGCAUAAAUGCACAUUGAGUUUGUUCCUCAGAUAAAUGAACUGAGAAGAGUUUAAGGGCUUAGUCAUUAUGUCUGCUAUCUGUUCUGUACUAGGAACAUAUAGAAUCUUAAGAUCUCCAGUUAGAACCUUAUCUCUGAUAAAAUGCAGAUCGAUUUCUAUGUGUUUUGUUCUUGAGUGAAACACUGGAUUAUGAGCAAGAUCUUUGGCACUUACAUUGUCACACCAUAUAACUGGUUUCUCCACACGACAUAGAUUAAUCUCAAGAAACAAAGAUUUUAUCCAUGUUAUCUCUGAAACAGCUGCUGCAAGUGCUCUGUAUUCACUUUCUGCAGAAGAUUUUGUAACUACAGAUUGCUUCUUUGAGGACCAUGAGAUUAAGUUGUUUCCUAGGUACACACAAUAUGCACCAGUGGAUCUUCUGUCAUCAAGAUCACUUCCCCAGUCUGCAUCUGUAAAUGCUGUAACCUUCAGCUCACCUUUCUUAACAAAUUUCAGCCCAUAGUCUUGUGUUUCCUUCAGAUAUCUAAGCACACGUUUGCAUGCCAUAAGAUGUUGAAGUGUUGGUGAAGAUACAUACUGACUUAGCUUAUGAACUGAAUAGGCAAUUUCAGGUCUUGUCAAAACUAAAUACUGAAGACCUCCUACAAUGCUUCUGUAAUGAGAUGGAUCUUCUAUGUAAUAACCCAUUUCCCCUUCUAUAUUCUUCUGCAAUCUGUAAUCUUUGCUGCUGCUCAUUGGUGUAUCUAUUCCUUUACACUCGAGCAUAUCAGCUUUAGCCAGCAAGUCUCUGAUAUACUUCCUUUGUGAUAGAUACAUACGGCCAAGAUCAUACAAAACUUCAAUUCCAAGAAAAUAAGAUAACUUUCCCAGAUCCUUUAAUGCAAAUGCAGAACUGAAUAGCUUGAUAAAAUCUUCCAGCUCAUCACAAUUUGAUCCUGUAAUCAAUAUGUCAUCCACAUAUAUCAGGAUUAAAAUAAUUGAUCUUUUAUUCUUUUUCAAGAACAAAGAUGAGUCAGACUUAGAAUUCUCAAAUCCCCAUUGCACAAGACUGUUUCUCAGCUUGUCAAAACAUGCUCGUGGAGCUUGUUUCAAACCAUAAAGUGCCUUGUGAAGCUUGCACACAAAAUCAGGUCUUUUGGAAUCAAUAAACCCUUCUGGUUGACUCAUAUACACCUCCUCAAUUAAAUCUCCAUUUAAGAAUGCAUUAUUCACAUCAACCUGUCUUAUUUGCCACUGAUUCAUUACUGCUAGACUCAGGACUAUUCUAACUGUUGCUGCUUUCACCACUGGACUGAAAGUCUCAAAGUAGUUCACUCCUUCUAUUUGCUGAAAUCCUUUAGCAACCAACCUUGCCUUAUAUUUUGCAACACUUCCAUCAGUAUUUGAUUUCACUCGAAAUACCCAUUUGUUGCCAACAAGUUUGUGAUGUUCUGUUCUUGGCACAAGUGUCCAGGUACCAUUUGACAUUAGUGCAUCAUAUUCAGCUUUCAUUACUUGAAACCAUCUCUCAUCAUUGAUAGCCUCCUGAACUGUAUCUGGUUCUUUAUGCAACAAUACUGCAGUAUAUACCUUUGGCUUAAAGAUACCUGCUUUCCCUCUAGUGAUCAUGGGGUGUUGGUUUAGUGAUGGUGAGGUUGUCAUUGUUUGAUUGAGAUGAGGGAUAUUGUUAUUGUGUUGGUUUUGUGAAUUUUCAUUUGAGGGCUGUUCUAAUGUUGUGUCAGGUAUAGAAGGUAACAUUAUAGGUGCAGAUGGAUUAUUUCUGUCUGUGUUUGAGGGUUGUUGAUCUGUUACCUGUGUUGAGACUACUGUUGAAGGAAAAAUGUUGCCACUGGAGUAUGCUUGAGAGAAAGAUUCAUUGCUGGUGACUGAAAAAUCUGUUAUGACAGGUAAUGUUGAUAACUGGAAAACUUGUAUAGGAGUAAUUGUGCAAUAUGUAUCAGACUUAGAUUUAUUUGAAUUAUGAAAGCUAGGAUCAGCUGCAAAUGGAUAAGAGUGUUCAUCAAAGACAACAUGCCUAGCUAUAUAUAUAUGUCCAGAGGGGUGAUAACACUUGUAGCCUUUAUGAGAUGGACUAUAACCAAGAAAAAUGCAUUUGGUUGUGUGAUAGUCAAACUUGUGCUUAUUGUAAUCUCUCAGAUAUGGAUAACAAGCACAUCCAAAGCAUUUCAGCAUUUUAUAAUCAGCCUUGUGUUUAUAAAGCUUUUCAUAUGGAGUAGACAUCUUAAGUGCAGAAGUAGGGAGUCUAUUAAUGUGAUAGACUGAGGCAUGAAAAGCAUCCCACCAGAAUUGAAAAGGGAGUUUGGCUUGAGCUAGAAGUGUCAGUCCUAAUUCUACAAUUUGUCUGUGUUUUCUUUCAACAAGUCCAUUCUGAUGAUGAGUGUAAGGGCAAGAGUGUCUAAAGAGAAUGCCACAUUCAUUUAGAAAGGCAGUAAAUGGUCUGUAUUCUCCCCCCCAGUCAGAUUGUAGAAUUUUGAUAGAAGUUUGAAAUUGUUUUUCAACUUGAAGUUUGAACAGCUUGAACACUUCUAGAGCUUCUGAUUUAAGUUUCAAAGGAUAAAUCCAGGUGUAUCUGGUAUGAUCAUCCACAAAGCUAAUGUAAUAUCUAAAGCCAUCUCUAGAAUAUGCUGGUGAGGGACCCCAUAGAUCAGUGUGAACAAGUUCUAGAGCUGAUGUGGAUUUGAUAUCAGUGAUUGGAAAAUGAAGUUUAUGAAAUUUUCCUAGUUGACAUGCUUCACAGAAAUGCUUUGUAGCUUGAUUAACAAUAUUUGUAGAGCACAAAUUGGGAUGCACAAGCUUAAGCAAAUGAAUUAGACUUUGAGUAUUAGGAUGACCAAAUCGUUUGUGGAGUAAAGACAUUUUAUUGAAUGAAUUAGUGCUACAAGUAUUCUUAUUUGACUGAAAACAUUUUCCAGAACAAGAACUAUUAACUGAAGUGCUGAAAUAACACUGAGAUAGCAUGGACACAGGCUUAUUUAUUGAGCUCUGAGAUAGAAAAGAGGUAAAUGUAGAUUGUGAUGAUGAACUCAGCUGCAAUUUGUAUAAACCUUUCUCAGCAAUACCCAGUAGCAGAAUUUUCCCUUUCAGUAUAUCCUUCACAAAGCAAACAGAACCAAGGAAUUCAACAGAUAAGUCAUUAUCAGUGGUCAGUCUAGAAACACUUAUUAAAUUCUUUGUAAUAGAUGGAACAAGCAGUAUAUCUUUAAGUGCAAUGCAUGUACUUGCAUAUUGUAUUUUAGAGCUUUGAAUUGUAAGAUUGGCAUUACCAACAUGUGUGAUUGACAAACCUUUACCAUCACCAAUGAUAAGCUUGUCAUUACCUCUAAACUCAUUGCUGACAUGCAUAUUUGCCAUACUAUUUGUUAGAUGAUGUGUAGCUCCACUGUCAAGGUACCAUCCUUCAUCUGUUGGUCCUUCAAAGUUAGCAGCAUAAGCAGCUCCAGCUCCACUCACAGGUGAGCUCAUUGAGUCAGAUAUGUAUGAAGAAUAUGGUGUAUUAUACACGUGAGGUAUCCCUGAAUAAUCAGCUGCAGCAGGCCAUGAAUCUUCAGUAGGUGCAUUAAAAUAUGUCAUAUAGGCUGAUCUCUGAUUUCUUCCUCUUUUCAUGUGUUGAGGUAUAUAAUUUUCUUCAAACCUAUGCCAACAUUCUACUGCUGUGUGUCCAGAUUUAAAACAGAUCUGACAAACAACAGUCUGUUCCUCAUUACCAUCAGAAUUCGACAAACCAGAAUUAACACUAUAUUGUCCUCUCAUGAAUUGUGCCUGCUUAUUAUUGUUUCCAAUCAUUUGACCUCUGCCAAGAUUAUUACCAAGAUUUCCAGAUCCAGAGGGAAAGCCUCUUGGAUGAGAAUUGAUAAACAUUCCUCUUCCAGUAUGAAAAUUGUUUCUUCCAAAUUGAUUUCCACCAUGAAAUCCUCCAUUAUAUCCACCUCUUCGAGCACUACCUCUUGUUUGAGCAUAAUAAGCAUUCAUCAUACCAUAGCCAUUAUUAUUAUGAGAAACAUUAGCAAGAUUUGCAUUGAACAUCUGUUUUUCAUUUAGACUCUGUUCUAAUCUUGUUUCAUGCGUGAGCAGCAAUGCAUAGGAAUCAUCAAAAUCUAGCUUACUAGCAGUAAUGAAAGUUGCUAAAUCUAGAUAGCCUGGUCCAAGACCAUUAAGGAUCUGUUGUAACAGAUCUUUGUCAGAAACUGGACUACCAGCACAGGCUAAUUUAUCUGCUAUUUGUUUCAUUUUCAAACAAUAAUCUUCUACAUUUAGUGAAUCUUUUCUCAAAACACUCAUCUCAUAUUUGAGUUGAAGAACUCUAGCUUCAGAUUUUGCACCAAACUUUUUCUCCAAUGUUUUCCACACAUCAUAUGCAGUAUUACAAGAAUGAACAUGACUGAGAAUACCUUCAGUGAUUGAGCUUAAUAGCCAGCUUAGUAAUGUCUGAUCCUGUGACCUCCAGAUUAUAUAUUCUGGAUUUUCAACUUGUUGUGUAACUCUUCCCAUUGUUUCAGCAUAGCUUCCUGAAGUAAGAAAUUGAGUAGGUGCUGCCUUUUCUCCAUUGAUGUAGCCUUCAAGUCUGUUUCCUCUUAUAGAAGCUAAUACUUGAUUUCGCCAGAGCAUAUAAUUGGAUCUAUCCAAUUUGAUUGGCGUAAUGAAUGAGAAGGUAGUUUGUAUUGAUUGAUUCAUGUUUGUUGUGUUUGGAUUUGUGUUUAAAUUGCUUGAGCUUACCAUAUUUCUGGCUCUGAUACCAUGUAAAAAUGAGUUGCAAAUACUGUUUGGUUACUGAGAAACAGAGAGAAAAUUGAUAAAUAUUCUAGAUCUUAUUAUUUCAUUAAUUACAAAUGAGUAAAUCACAAGUCUUUAUACUUGCAUUUCAUUAGUAAAAGCUAUUAACGAAACUGAUCUGUAUUAACUAACUAAUACUAACUAACUAAUCACGCGAACUCUCAUUGCUGCAUAACAGAAUCAGCUGACUCAGCAUUGUUGACGUGGCAUUGCUGACGCACCUUAGCUUCUGACUUCUUCUCUCUUCUCAGCUCAGCACAAUGAGCUUUCUUCACAAACCAGAGUUAUAGGAUGGCUCAAGAUUUCUUCAAUGCACAUAUUACCCCUUUACAGGUAAUUAUAAUUAAUUAAGUUCUCGAUUACCAUUAAUUUUAUUUUAUUUUUUUCCAUUAAUUUCUAGAAAUUAAGAUUUAUUAGAACUCUAAAGUUAAAUUCUGAUUAAAAUUUUAAUUUUUAACGUACACAUUCCUCUUUAUAAUUAUGACCGUACGUAAUUUUAUAGCAGAGGAUAAUUCCUACCCAUUAAUUAAGCUAACCCACACGCCCAUGGAACAAUGAAGAAGUAGCUAAUAAAGUAAAAACACUGUAUUAGAUUCGGAAAACCAAGUUUCAAAUCUUCUUUUCAAAAAUAUUCUUCGUCUUUAUCUUUAUUGCGUGCCUUUGUGCUUUUUUUUUUCUAUUUAUUUAUUUUUCUUGUUUACAGUCUGGAUGUUGUAAGCCUCCGACAGAGUGUGGUUACACAUUUGUAAACCCAACAUAUUGGAUAAGUCCAAUUAACAACGCGGCGGACAUGGAUUGCCUACAGUGGAGCAAUGACCAAAUGCAGCUUUGCUAUAAUUGUGAUUCAUGCAAAGCAGGAUUACUUGCUAAUCUGAAAAAGGAGUGGAGAAGAGUAGAUAUCAUAUUACUCGUUACUCUUGUUGCUUUGAUAUGGGUUUAUCUGAUUGGAUGUUGUGCUUUUAGGAACGCCAAAACUGAAGACCUCUUUCGCAAGUACAAGCAAGGCACUUACACGUAAUUGUUAGCUGCACGUAAACUCUCUUUGAUAGUAAUAUUAAUGUGUAAUUAGGGACUGGCUUGAAUUGUUAUUUUGAUAAUUUUAUGAAUUUUUUGUUUAAGAUCCGUCUUCUUGGUUACUUACAUUUGGUUAAAUUAUGUGUGGGGUUUGAUUUGAUGACGACAUAAUCUUGAGUUGUGCGUGCGUGAUUUGUGGAGGGCGCCGAAAGUAGGUGGCUUUUGAAUAUUUGCUUUUUAAGGAGAAGGGAUUUCGCACUUCCGCUCCCUGCUUGCUCGCAUAGGGCAUUAAUUGUAGCUUUGAAAAAAGUUCUGCUUCAGCAUGCGCAAAAGUCAAAGAAAUGGGACAUGUGCUCAUGCAUUAUGCAGCCAGCAUAUGGGUGAUAGCAGACGUAUUUAAUCUUUUAGUCUUUGUUGACAACUCAGCCUCUCUCUCUCUCUCUCUCUCUCUCUCUCUCUCUCUCGCUGUGUCUCUGCGUCAGGGAUCUGAUUUGUGGGAAGAUAGAUAUCGGUUUAAAAGGUUUUCAUAUGCAUCCUUGGAACUUUGUAAGGUUUACAUGGAAAUUUCUUCCUCUUCCAGUGGCCGUCGAGAACUCUUUGCUGCUGAGAUGCACCUGAAGAACGUCCUUAAACAAGUAAAACACCUUAUAAUUCGAUAUUUAAGACACUUACAGUUGGUUUAAAGAUUGCAUUUUCCGUUUCUGUUUUUGACUGGUUCAGGGUAAAACUUUUUCUCACUGUGUUAGAGUGCAUUUCUGUUAUUAUAUAGUACCUGUCAAAAUUUUCCAUUCCAAUUAGUUACAGAGUGAAUUCUGUAAGGUGUGGCGCCCCCUUGAAGGCCAGGAGAGCCGUGUUUAGGGCUUAUCACCCCUCCAAGGUGUAAUCCCUUGUAUCCCUGUAGCUUAUACCAGAGGUCCGGAGUACUGCAGACUUGUGGAGAUACGGGGCUAUGAGUUUCCAUCUUUCGGACAUCACAACACUUGUUCUGGAGAAAUUAUGGGUUUAUUUCAGAACAGAGGAAGGUUACUUCAUUAAGAGGAAUGAGAGAUUUACAAUACACUAGAUUUAGGCUCCAAGACUCGAUGCCUAGAUACAAACCAAGGGUUCCCUUUUAUAGGCACAAGGGAACCACUAUUACACACUGUAGUCAUUAUUGAUCCUUAUCUCUAAGGAAUCUAUUUUACAACUCACUCCUUACUUUAUGUCACACUCAUACUCUCAUCCUUAUCACAAAGGAUGGUACACAAUACAUACGAAUACAAAUACAUAUAUUAUUAUUAUUAGAGAUACAAAUACAUAUAUUAUUAUUAUUAAAUAUACAAAUACAUAUACGAAUACAAAGGAUGGUACACAAUACACUCUGAUAAUAAUAAUAUAUGUAUUUGUAUUCGUAUGUAUUGUGUAUCAUCCUUUGUGAUAAGGAUGAGAGUGUGAGUGUGACAUAAAGUAAGGAGUGAGUUGUAAAGUAGAUUCCUUAGAGAUAAGGAUCAAUAAUGACUACAGUGUGUAAUAGUGGUUCCCUUGUGCCUAUAAAAGGGAACCCUUGGUUUGUAUCUAGGCAUCGAGUCUUGGAGCUUAAAUCUAGUGUAUUGUAAAUCUCUCAUUCCUCUUAAUGAAGUAACCUUCCUCUGUUCUGAAAUAAACCCAUUUUGGUAUCAGAGCCAUAUUUCCCAAAAGGAAACCCCUGGGUGUGCAACAAUAUUAUGCUCUGUGGUUGCCGAAACACUUCGGAUCCUCCACAUCAGAAAGUUGUUGAAUACUGAUCUACCUGUCAAAAUUUUCCAUUCCAAUUAGUUACAGAGUGAAUUCUGUAAGGUGUGGCGCCCCCUUGAAGGCCAGGAGAGCCGUGUUUAGGGCUUAUCACCCCAAAGAAAACCCUUUGUUUUCUCUUAGCCAUGGAAAACUCAAACAGUAAUAGAUCUGGAAACCAAACAGUUUCUGACCAAGGAUCCACUUCGGCUAUCAGAGUUCUAACUGAUAGUUCACCCUCUAUAAACUUCCAUUACGAAACCCAAGAGGAUGAAAGCAGUGAGAGAGCGGUUCAGUCCUUUAGACUUGAUCCGUUAGAUCCCUAUAGAUACUACCAUAUCAAUUCUACUCUUAAUCAAUUAAGAGCCAUAAUUCCUAUUAGACAACCCAAGCUUAAAACCAUCUAUAAAUCCUCUGAGAUUACUGUCCAGUUCAUCUCCUCCAGUUCUAAAGAAACAUACCUUCCUAUAAUCUCUACCAAUGAGGUUACAAGGUAUAAGCUACAGGGAUACAAGGGAUUACACCUUGGAGCAAUCUAGAUAGGAAUACAACCAUUGUUCCUAGCUGGAAAAGAUAUCACAUGCUUCAUUGCCAUCCUUGACACUAGAUGGCAAACUUUUGAGAAAGCCUUGAUCACUGCUGUCGAAGCAGGACUCAACCAAGGUCAUGUUGUUCUCCAAGUUGAACCCAACUUCACCCUUGACAUACACAAGCCAUUUCUCACAGAUGCCAUUAAGGUAUUAAUUCAGGUCAAUGGUCUAACCAUAAAACCUGAUGAAUCUGCCUUGGCAAUUCACCACACCAUGACCUAUAAAGUCCAAACCCAUCUGUUCUCUAUGAGCAGCUCUGGCAGGCCCAUUACCAGAUUUCUUGCUGGUGAUGGCAGAGUCUUUCAACCUCGGACUUAUAGGCAAAAUCAGCUCAUUUUUCUACCUCAAUGGAUCAAUGAGUAUGAAAAAAACAGCAAGCCUCAACAAAUCCAUGAGGUUCCAAAGAUAAGCCGGUUACAAGAAGGAAGGGUAUCAGUCUCUUUUCCCACUGAGACUAAAGCCCUCUAUCCAUGUGAAAAAUGCCAGCUUGAAGGAAGGCAUCCCUCCUUGUGCACUCAUAUGCCAAGAAGAAUCACCUCCUGCAGAAUCAUGGGUCCAAUUAACAUGAUCACCACUCCGGAUCUUGAUAAUGAAUUCCUCAAGGAUAUUCCUGGAGGAAUGUAUGUUGCCAAAUGGGUAAUACAAAAAACCAACCCAACUGAAUUUGGCCCAAUUGAGAAGGCGAUCAACUGGUCAAACAUCAAUGCUGUUGAACAGAACCAAGCGUUGGGAGACAUCAUGGUUACCCAACAGCAAAUUCUUGCUGACUUAGCUGUUAUCAGAAAACAGCUAAAGAAAACCAGAAAACAGCAUAAGGUGACUACCCAGCAGUUUUCCCAAAUGCAUGACAGUGCCUCCAGAUCUAUCAACAUGAUCGUAAUGACCGGAGCUGCAGAUGAGGACGGAAUGAGAAGAACCAGAGAAAGCUAUCAAAGGACAAAAGUGUCCAGGCACUGGAAGAGCAAGCCCACAAAGCCAUGGCAUGUCUGGGAAGAAAAUGCAUCUGGCAACUGUCAAAAGGCAUUUUGGAGAAGCUAUGCUCCACCUCCACAAUAUCCAUGGCCCACUAAGGCUACAGGAUGGGAUGAGGAUAAAGAUACGGAUACUGAAACAAGUAUCUCCUCUGAUGACCAGAUCCCUCUUAUACCAAUUCUUAUGCAAAGAGCAAAUCCUCCAAAUCCAUUCUAUGUGGAUACUCGAGCUAGAUUUGCAGCAUCCACACCAACACAGGGUCAAACCUCUGAUCCUACAAGACAAGAGCAAACUCAACACCCAUCAGGAACAACCCAGUUCACUGCCCCAGAAUUCGCUAAUCCUGCUGCCCAACCAGAAGCAUCUGGAGUAGAAUCCACAAAUCAAGAAGACAGGGCACCACAUAUUGAUGAGGUAAAUCAGGGAGACGAAUGGGAAACCCGUGUCCAACUUGGGCAUUCUACGACGGGAAAAAUGUUCUGGAACAUCGAUAGAAUGAAGCCAAAAGAAAUAUUGGCUUACUUUGAAAAGAUGGUAGCUUGGUAUGAAGGAGAAUGCCAACGAACUCCCCAGUUGAGCAGAAGAUCGGCAGCAAUGAGACUUGUUGCAGGAUUCGUUGGAUCAUUGAGAAGAUGGUGGGGAAGAAAGCUCAGCAGAGAACAAAAGGAAUUCAUACUCAGCAGAGAAGACCCUUGUGGAAGCUUGGUAGAAAAUCUAUCCUUGGAUUUUCUCGGCCAACACACAAGAGAAGAAGAAGUAGCUGAAAAACAAUUUCUCCAGAACAAGUGUUGUGAUGUCCGAAAGAUGGAAGAGUACUACCUAGAGCAAGAAAGGUUGUACUACAUCUUUGACAAACAAACUGACACCAUCCACAGAACAUUCGUGCUAAACAUGCCAGGCCCAGUAGCGGAAAUGAUGGAGGCUAAAUUCAAAGCUGAUGCAAUUGUUGAUUUAGCACAGCUUAGCCUUGCUCAGCUCUAUCAGAUAUCUAUGGAGCUGAUCCAAAGUCAUUGCAGAUCUCAAGACUUAAGAAGGCACAUGAAGCAGAUUGAGAAAUCCUCUCUGCAAAAAUUCUGUAAUGAGGAACCAAACAAAUUUGGUUGCCACCAUACAGACAAAAUGUGCUCUUGCAAGAACAACAGGCAGAAAAGGCCAAAGAAACCCUGGAAGCCCUACAAAGGAAAGAAAUACCGUUUCAUCAAAAAACGAAAACAAAAGAAAGGCUCGGGGAGAUGUUUCAUUUGCGGAAAGAAAGGUCACUAUGCCAAACAGUGCAAAUCCAAGAAAAGACUUCCAGCAAAACUUCUCCAGAUGAUCCAGCAGGAAGAUUUUGAUGAUGACAUCUAUACCUGGUCAGAUAGCCCUACGGUGUUGUAUACACAAUGGAUAAAUAUCCUCUUUCAGACGACGAUGAUACAGAUUCUCUUUCUAGCACUGACAGUGAUUCUGAUGAUGAUCCUGUCAUGACCAUCCAUGAGCCUCUCCAAGCUAACCUGGCAAUGGCCCCUGCCUCUCUCUUCAGACCACAUAUAAAGGUUAUCCUCAACCCAUCUGAGGAUAAACAGGUAGCACUCACUGCUCUUAUUGACACUGGAGCAAUGUGCUCAUUCAUUCGAGAAGCUUGUGUUCCUUCCACCUUUUAUGUUCCUACUAAGGUCUCGUUUGGCUCCGCUAGUGGAAGUAACUUCUCCAGUAAAAAGAUUACCCGGCCUAUAGAAAUCCAGCCCUUUAUGAUAAGGCAUGGCUUCUUUGCCUUUGAUUAUUCAGGCGAAGAUAUCUUGCCAGGCACCGACUUUUUAAGUCUGAUUGCCCCUUUUGCCUUCUUUCCCGAUGGCUUCUCUUAUACCAUUCGGAAUCCUCACACGGGCACCACUAACACUUUCUGGGUACCCUGGGUUGAAAAACAAUCCAUUUUUGGGGAGGGUGGAAAACUACAAAAUUACACCAUCCAUAAAUAUGAACCCCAAAUUAAAGAACUCCUUGAAUGCUGUGCAGAAGUGCCAAACCAGUUUUGGGCUAGAGAACAACAUUUUGUGUCUCUACCAUACAAGGAUGGAUGGACCAUGCCUCACCAGACGGCCUCUCAUCCAGGCAUUCCUCAUGACGAAGAACUAUGCAAAACAGAGAUCCAGGCUCUUAUGGAUCUAGAGCUCAUCAGGCCCUCUAAGUCUCAUUGGGCUAGCCCAGCAUUUUAUGUCAACAAGCAUUCAGAACAGAUACGUGGAAAAAAGCGAUUGGUAAUUCACUACAGAAAACUGAAUGAUUGCUUGCAGGACAUAAGAUACCCCAUUCCACGGAGGACACACAUUUUAAAACGCAUUGCUGGUGCAAAAGUGUUUUCAAAGUUUGACAUGAAGUCAGGCUUUUGGCAAAUUGGGAUUAAAGAAGAAGACAGACACAAGACAGCAUUUGUGGUCCCCCACGGGCAUUAUGAAUGGAAUGUGAUGCCUUUUGGCCUAAAGAAUACACCGUCAGAAUUCCAAAACAGAAUGGAUGAGGUGUACAAAUCUAUCUCAGGAUUUUGCCUUAUCUACAUUGACGAUGCUCUUAUCUUCAGCAACAGUGAAGAAGAACAUGCUGAACACCUGUCCCAAUUCAAGGCACUAACCUAUAAACAUGGGUUAGCUUUGUCAGAAUCCAAAAUGAAGAUAGGCCUUGAUGAGGUGGACUUUCUAGGAUUACACAUCAAGCAGAGAUUCAUCAUUCCUCAGCCACAUAUAGCUGAAAAAAUAUCCCAAUUCCCAGACCAGCUGUCAACCAGAAAGCAGAUCCACCAGUUCCUCGGGAUAAUCAACUAUGCAGCAGACCAUGUGCAGGAUCUGUCAAAGAUGACGAGAGUCAGAUAUCAAAGCACUUAAAGAAGAGUGCCCCACAAUGGUCGGAAGACGCAACAAAAGCAGUGACAGACUUAAAGCAAAAGUGCCAGUCACUUCCACCAUUAAAGAUACCUGACAAGGGACAGCUCAUCCUCCAGACAGAUGCAAGUGACCAUUAUUGGGGAGCACUGUUGAUAGAGGAAUCCGAGGGAAACAGAAAAGUGUGUGGCUAUAAAUCAGGCCAGUUCAACGAUGCUCAAAGCCACUACCCCUCCUCCAAAAAAGAAGUCUUAGCAGUUGUCAAAGGGAUCAAAAACUUUCAAUUCUUUCUUUCACUAACUCCCUUUGUGAUUGAAACAGACUACAAAUACCUACAGGGAUUACUCAGGAGAAAAGAAGGAGAAAUACCAGAUCCACAGCUUGCAAGGUGGUCUGAGUCUCUCUCGAGAUUCAAGUUUGAAGUAAAGCACAUCAAAGGAGAAUCCAACACUGUUGCGGAUUUCCUUUCCAGACCGAUCACCAUGAUCAAAAGAAGAAGCCUUCCAAAAAGAUGGGACGAAGGCAGUUCUAGUGCUCACGCAGCCCGAGCACACUUUCUCAAAGAUCUUAACAUCUUCAUUGCUUGGCUUCCUUCGGAAGUUCAAGAUGACAUCUUUGAGAAAGUCAUCUGCCACAAAAGAGAUCCAGAAGAUCAAGCUCUGACAUGGCGGGUAUGGCAGCUCAUGGCCAUGCAGGAACACAGACCUGCCCAUAACAAACAAUGUCAAAGAGCUUUUGAUCCACAUCCAAAUCCUGACCAGAUGCAUGAAACGGUCUUCAAGGUCGGUUGCACCUUCCACUAUGUAAUAGACGAGAACUCCAACUGGGGUCACUAUGUUAUCUGCGAUAUAACCCCUCAAGCCUAUUACAUAACUUGGUACUGGCCCAACAUUUACCCAGUGGCAAUCCUGUUUGAACCACAUCUGAUCCAUACCAGCAGGAGAUAUGGGAAGGGAAGAUGGUUCGACCGAAUGUUCGCUCCUAUCUUCGAAGACAUCCUAACACUCCGGCUAAUCAACGGAUAUCACAUCACUCACUCUACUAUAGUGAUUGUGAAACUCACAGAUAUCUGGGGAAGAUACAAGCAGCCUCUUGUGCAGGUGGUCCAGCAUGACCUCAACCAUGAAGAAAUUGAUUCCAUGUGGACAGGCUGUUGGAAUGCUAGAAAAGCUUUAGCUGAGGUAUACGGAACUAUUCCAAUGUAUAAUACUCAUAGCCCCGUAUCUUCACAAGUCUGCAGUACUCCGGACCUCUACUACAGAGAGGAGAUCAGGAAUCUCAAGCUUCAUGGAGAAGAAGAUGAAGCAGCAGACUUGCAGCAGUGGUAUAAUGAUUACCUCACUCGCCAUGGCAGGCCAAAAGAAGUCACUUAUCUGGACACUCCAGAUAUUGAAAGAUGGAGGAACGAGCUUGAAGAAAUGGCCCAUUGGCUAGACCUCCAAGAUUGGCCCCAACCUGAGUUAGACCCCCAGCCGGAUAACAUUGAAGAUCCCAUAUGGCCAAAUAUGGGAGAAGAUAUGGAUGCAGCAUCCGAAGAACGAUGGAACCACAGGUCAGGACGUAGCACACCAACAAGUGGCAACUCUGGACUAUAGCGGAAGCUUAGUGGACCCUACAGUGGAAGCAAUGGUGAUAAUAAUAUAUGUAUUUGCAUUCGUAUGUAUUGUGUACCAUCCUUUGUGAUAAGGAUGAGAGUGUGAGUGUGACAUAAAGUAAGGAGUGAGUUGUAAAGUAGAUUCCUUAGAGAUAAGGAUCAAUAAUGACUACAGUGUGUAAUAGUGGUUCCCUUGUGCCUAUAAAAGGGAACCCUUGGUUUGUAUCUAGGCAUCGAGUCUUGGAGCCUAAAUCUAGUGUAUUGUAAAUCUCUCAUUCCUCUUAAUGAAGUAACCUUCCUCUGUUCUGAAAUAAACCCAUUUCAUGGUUAGACCAUUGACCUGAAUUAAUACCUUAAUGGCAUCUGUGAGAGAUGGCUUGUGUAUGUCAAGGGUGAAGUUGGGUUCAACUUGGAGAACAACAUGACCUUGGUUGAGUCCUGCUUCGACAGCAAUGAGAAGAAAAUGCACUUUUUGGAAUCUCAGGCUGAAGGAUUUUUGGUGCUUUAACUAAUCUCAUUUGACAAUGUAAAUAUAUGGCUUCAAUUUCUUUAAAUGUAAUAGCAAGUGUUGUUUUCGACCUCUGUUCUUUUAUGCAUUGCUUACAUGCCGUGAUUUCAUUAACCUAAAUUUAAGAACUGUUUGAGGGAAAUACAUCGAGGAGACCAGACGUGAUGAGCAGGUGUUUGGUGGUGGAGUUCUGCGAGCAGGAAUAUUCUCCUCGUCCACGAAUAUGCCAUUCGCGAGACCGAAUUCAUGUUAGAGGCAUAAGGUCAUUCCUGCUAAGGGUCGAGGCGAGGAGACCCGGUCAACGGCAGUUGGCAAGACGUGCCUUCCUAUCCGAGAAUCAAGGCACGAGGUCCAUCUCCAUUUGCCCACAAUGACGACAAUGGGGCAUCCACAUCCGAGGGUGGGGAGAAUAACGGGCGUAAACUGCGGAAGAUCGGGACUCAGAGGAAGCCUAUAAAAAGGUAGCCAACAAAGGUAAAAGGGUUAGAUUUUUUGCUAUUUGAACUAAGAAAAUAGAGAACUCGAAGGUCUGAGAUUAGUGAAAAGCCAUAAGAUCCGUGGCAAGCAUUCCCAGAACCUUCAUAUCUGACUUGAGCGUCGGAGGGUUUACGCCGGGAAAACAACCGGCGUGCUCUGACCUGUUUCUGUGGACGCAAGGAUACUUAGAGAAGAAAGCGUACGAGGAGAGAUCCUGAUCGAGGUGAGGUUGAUCGAGCAGACAUCCUGGUCGUUGGAAGGUGUAACCAGAAUCUCGCAUCAACAAGAACAAUUUCAUAUAAUUUUUUUUCUGCUUUUCUUUUAUCAUUUAAAAACAAUACUACGCACACACACACGCAUAUAUUUCAGAAAGCAUUUAAACAAAGCAACCGAACGUUGCUGGUUUCUAUUAUUACAUCGACAACAAUAAAGCAAAGAAGCAACUGAAAGUUAUCUUCAUAUGAGAAUGAAAGCUUUUCAGCAGCAUAAACCUUUCACUAUUCAAUUCCAAACAUGUUCCUCAACAUGAUAACAAAUUCGUAGACCUUUUCUAGGUCUAGAAGGAUCCUGGCAACAGUAUCUCUUUGCAUGCACUUGUUCAUCCAUGCUGAGAAUUUGGGGCACUCAUUCUCAAGCUUAAAUCCCCCAAAUUUCUCAACCGCGUAAAACCAACAAGUCAGUGGAAUGGAAAUGACAUCAACGAAUCCAAAGCUAUCCCCGCCAAAGAAAUCCUUCUCCCCUAAAGCGCCCUCAAGUUGCUUCAAAAUCUCUAUAAAUUCAUUCUUCGCGGUCUCUGGGACCUCGCCCUUGCUUUUCCAUAUGUUGCAUACUGCAUCGAAUACCUGCCAAAAAAGUGGUGUCAUCUUUUAAGUUCACAUUUAGAAAGAUACAAACAUUUACACUUGAGAAUUAUAGACUGACCUUCUUGUCAAUAAAAUCUUGCCUUAGCUCUCUCAUAAGCACAGGAUGGGAGAAGUGGUGGCGAAGGCCAAGUCUCGUCAAUGUAGUUAACUAUAAUAGUGGAUUCACACAAUGGUUUCCCAUCGUGCAGCAAAACUGGGACUUUCUUGUAGAUGGGUUUGAUUUGAGCAACAGGUCACUCUUGCCCCCAAACAAGUUCUCAGCUCUGGCUUCAUAUUCAACUCCUUUCUCAGCCAAUGCAAUCUUUGCUCUCAAGCAAAAUGGGCUAGCCCAACAAUCCAAAAGAACAACCUCUCCCUUCGACAUAUUCACUUUCUUUGUUCUUGUUUCUUUUACUUGGUUGAUAGUAAUUAAACCUUGAGUAUCAAGGUUGGCAUUUAUAAAGGAUAAAAGAUGAAAUUCCCAAAGUUUGUGUCGCAAUCAACGUUUGUUCGUUGGCACUUCCUUAAAGGAUGUGGCAUUAUUCUUAUCAUUUCUUAGUUUUUGAAGCUAACUGUUUUACUUGGCUUUCAACAUGCACAAGAACAAGUUUGUCUUGUGCAUACGGAGUUUACUAUGGACAAGCCGAAUUGUAAGUAACCAUUUACACUAAUCAAUCGGUAUUGUCCAAUGAAAAUAAGUAAUGUAAACUUAUCAAAAAAAAAAGUAAUGUAAAAAGUGUCUAGGAUUUUGCCUAAUAUUUCUUAAAAUAGGCUAAUUAAGCCCAAUUCUGGUGCUAGAUUGGUUCAACUUUGAAUCAAACUUGGAAACAUUUUGCUUUAGAUUAUUAUUAUUAAUUUAGAAGAGUCAAAAAGCUAAGAGUAUCGUUGGUAAAGCUCAAACAUGUGUAAUAUCACAUAUUACUUCUUUUUUUUUUUUAUACAAGUAAUAUCACAUAUUACUAGUGAGUGAGUUUCAUAAACUUUCCUAUUGAAAAAGACACAUUUUGGGUUGUAAAUCCUAACACAAUAUUUAUUCAGUUGUUGAGCCUGAAAUAUUACAGAUAUAUCAAAUAUUAUUUGAUGUGGGCGCACAACCCUGCGUCUUCUUAAUUAGGACAACCAAUGAAACCCUGCGUCUUCUUACAUAACUUGUAUGUACACAUUGGCGGGAUAUCCCAAUUAUGUACUCGUUUGUCUUCAUGUGUUUUAAAAAAAUCUAUUGUAAUGGAUAUAUUGUAAAUUUAUCUAAUUGCUUGUUAUAAUGCUUCUAUUGCGGUGUUAUUCGAGCUGUCAUUUUCAGUUUUAUUUUGUUUUUUCUUUAAACAUAGUUAAUUUGAAAUCCAUUACACUUGAAUCAUCAAAUAAGUGAUUCUCGAACAUAAUUGCUGUUGUUACUCGAAUAAGAAAAGAAAACAAAGUAUAGCUAAGAUAAAAGCAAAUGGAAAUGAGAGCAACGUGAUUUUGCAAAGAGAACUUCACACUAUCAUAAAACCAAAAACAUUAAAAUUUAAAACUUAAAUAACAACACACCAAAGCCAAAUAACGACCCACUAGAAUCAUGGUCCAAAGAUUGUACCAUGAUCACAACAUGAACUACAAAAAAAUAACCAACACCUGAAAAGUAGGAACAGUUUGAAACUUUCAACUAAAGUGGGAAAGACCAGGAUGGCACUGCAUGCCCAGCCCACCAACAUUAAAUGCUUUUUUCCCUUAUAAUUUAUCAGUCACAUAAUUUAGAGUGAAGACUUUAAUGCUGUGUUUACUUGCUGGAGUGGGAGUGAGGAGUGUGGAUUCCUCCCACUCCAGCGUUUACUUUCUCUGAAUGGGAAGGGAGUGGGAAUUCCACUCCGUGGGCCCCACCCAUUUUUGGAGUGGGGAGUGGGAGUGGGACUCCCAUAUUCCCACUCCCACCUCUCCCUUUUUUACCCUUUUAUUUUUUUAAUUUAAUUUAAUUUAAUAUUUUAUAAUUAAUAAAAUAAAAUAAAUAUUAUUAUAUUUAUUUGAAUAAUAAUAUUAUAUUUAACUAAAUAAUAAUUUGCAUUGAUUCUAAGUUAAAAUUAUUUUAAAAUAAUAUUAUUAUAUUAAUAGAGAAUUAAUAAAUAUAAUAUUAUUAUAUUUAUUUUAAAAAUAAUAGUACUAUAUUUAUUUAAUAUUAAUAAAUAGUUUAUUCUAAGAAAAUAUUAAUUUUGUACUAAAUAAUAUUAUAUUAUUAUUUUAUAUAAUAAUAAAUUUAAUAUAAUUAUAUUAAAUAAAAUAAGGUUUCAUUUUGUAUUAAAAUUAAUAAUUUAUUGUUGAUAAUUAAGAAUAUUAAUAAUUAUAAUAAAUUUACAAAUAUAAUAAAAUAAAUAUUAUUCAUUAAAUAUAUUUUUUAUUAGUUUUGUAAUUAAAAAUUAUAAUUCUUUAAAUAAGAAUAAAAUUGUAAUUUGAAACUAUUUACUCCCAAUCCAAGACAAAGUAAACACAUAAAUUGGAUUUUGAUCUCUAUUCCAUGCUUCCAUUCCAGUGUAAGUAAACAACCUACUCUCACUCCCACUCCACACUCUCAAUCCUAGGAUUUCCACUCCUCAGGAUUCCCAAUCCAAUCCAAAAAGUAAACGCUACCUAAAAGCAAAUAAAUGAAUUGGCUGAAUCUAGCUAGGAUGCCAGGAUGGGCACGGAUCCACAGAUAACAAGUAACAGUCUUUAAAUCUUCUGUUGUAAGUUCUUACGCCCCUUUUUUUUUAUACGACGAACCCCCGAUUCUACCCUCCAAAAUCAACAAUAGAGAAUUUAGUCUUAGCCUCUCAAGAUGCACUCAAACCUAAGGAUGGCAAUGGAUCAGAUCUGACCCAAGAUCCAUGUGAUCCAAAUCCAAUUGGAUCGAAUUUGGGUCGGAUUAAAAUAGAUUUGGAUCGGAUUUGGAUAUCGAUGCGUGGAUCUAAGGCGGAUCUGGAGCAAAUUCAGAUUUAUCUUAAUAUCUAUAUCCAAAUCCAUAUCCACUCACCAUUUAAUGUAAUUUUAUUUUAAAAAAUUCUUAACAAUUAUGUAAUUAUAAAUGAUGAUAAAAUUUAUUCAUUAGCAUGUAUUUAAGAAUCUUAAAACUUAAAGGUACUUAAUUGAUAAUAAGAUAAAAAUUUAUCAAGUGUAAAAUAAAAUUAGGAUAGUCUGCCCUAAUUUUUUUAAGUUUUUCACUCUACAAUUUAGUCUCUUUUUUCCUCUUUAGUCUACUCUCGCUUCUCCACUUCAUUUGAAUGCUUGGAUCAGUUCUUUAAUUGUUAGGAAAAUCCAUAGACUUGAGUUUAUUUUUCUAUCAUUUUCUCAUAAUCUUAUUUAUUUUGUAUAAUCACUAAUCAAUGGUGGCUAUCAACUAUAAAAUAAUUAUGUUAAUCAUAUAUUUAGUUAAAUAUGAUCAUAAUAAAAAUAAUAAAGCACUGAAUAUAAUAAAUCAUUUUUAACUUAUAUGUUAUUAUUUAAUGAUAUAGGAAUGAUGAUGGUGUGCAGUGGAUAUCAAGAUAGUAAAUGAGACAUUAGAAUAUUAUAAUGAUCUUAUUCAUGCAAUUACUUUUUAUCGAUAUUUUAUUAUCUUUUUUAUUUGUUUAUUUUGGUGUAAAAGCAGAAGCUACAAUACUUAUUAGAUUUUUUGUACAAAUUAUAUAAUUUAAUUGUUACCAAUGCAUUUUAGUCUUAAAUUUUUUUUCUAAAAAAAAUUGAUCUCUUAUUAUUGAGAUUUAGAAUUCAUGAUGGAUCUAGAGCAUAUUUAGAUUGUAAUUUUUCAAUUUGGAUUUGGAGCAGAUAUAGAUCUUUAUUUUUGUUUCGAAUCUAGAUAUGGAGCGAAAAUAUAGAUCCAUAACGGAUCUGGAGCAGAUACAGAUCUUAAUUUUUAUUACGGAUCUGGAUAUGGAGCAAUGUAGAUCCAAUCCAUAUCUGCUCCAUUGCCAUCCCUACUCAAACCUUGAGUAUGGUUUUUACUUACGUAUUAUCGAUUAUGAUUUUAACUAAUCUCUCUUGUCAACGAACUUUUGGUUGAUUAUGGACGCCUUUUUUUUUUUAAUCUAAACAAUAUAAGAUUUCGUACAAAUUGAAUUUGUAUAGACCUCAUCAUUUGGAACUUGUGUUGUAUCCAAAAAUAUCACCCAACCCAAAGAAAAUAAGUUCAAUUCUAUAACUCAUUCAUUUUUCUUAUAGCCCAAUGGAUUGAGAGAAUAGGCGUCAGAGGAAACUUUAUUUCAAUAUAUAAAUAUAGGCUUGCAUACAAUGCAAAAUCAUAUAUUCGAACCAAUAGGCGAAGCAUUGUCCCUCGUUGAUCCACAUGAGCCAACUAGUCAAAGUGGAUCCACAUGAGCCACUUUACAGACUGGGCAUGCAUUGCAACUGUUCAUUUUUGCUUCUGCCAAUAAAGAGUUGAUAGUAACCAAAGAUUGUAUUCUUUAUUGUCAUUUGAGAGUAACCAAUUACUUAGGCAGUCACGUAAGUUGCUGGUUGGCCUCGCACAUUUUUGACCAGCUUGUUUCUGAAGGAAACCAGCUGAGCUGCAACCUCUUCCAUGCUCAUUCGUUCUCUCGGCAACUCUGAAGAGCAAGUGACUCCGAUUGCCAGUACUGAAACCAAGCACUCUUUAACACUAAAACUUCUGGUCCAUUGUUUGUGAGCAUUGGCCUUGCUUGUCUCCCCUUCUUCUCUUUCUACAAGAAGCACUGGAUCAACAAUUUCAGCGAGUCUUUCAGGAAGAGCUUCCUUGACAAAAUUAUGUAGGGUUAGAUUGCCUGUAAACAUCUCAUUCGUCGGCCCCUUUCCUGUAAACAUUUCCAGCAAGAGUAUUCCAAAACUGUACACAUCUCCACUUGUUGAGACUUCGCUCCCCAUUCCGUACUCUGCAAUUCGAAAACUAAAAUUGUUGGUUCAACUAGUAAAAUCUCUAAGGAUUGAAAGACAAGUUAAUUAAAUUAUUGUAUUUACCUGGUGCAGCAUAACCAACGGUUCCUUUUACUCCAACAGAGCUUGAUUGAUUAGAUGACAAGUUAUUGGUGGCUUCCGGAAGGAAUUUUGCUAAUCCAAAAUCACCUACAUGGGCAGUCAAUUCACCAUCCAGAAGAACAUUGCUUGGCUUGAGAUCACAAUGGACUAUUGGAGUUUCGCAAUAAUGAUGAAGAUAAUCCAAUGCGGAAGCAACAUCAACGGCAAUAUUCAGUCUUUGCAGGAGAUUUAAGUUCCUUGGUGCCUCAGCGUUCGGAUGCAACCAUUCCUCCAGGCUCCCGUUGACCAUGAACUCAUAAACUAAAGCCUCGAAAUCAUUUCCUUGGAAGUCAACACUUGCACAGGAAGUUAUUAUUUUGACAAGAUUCCGAUGCCUAAUACUCCUCAAGGCUUGACACUCCGCUAUGAAACUCUUUGAAGCUCCACGAUGCUGAAGAUUAAGUACCUUAACUGCCACCAGCGUUUCAUGAUCAUCGUGACUGAGGAUUCCUUUAUAGACCGAACCAAAGCUACCGGCACCAAUCAAGUUUUCCAAAGAGAACCCAUCAGUUGCUUUGAACAGAUUCUCAUAGGACACUCGUAAAACCGAAGCCAAGAAUGCUGAUGGAGUGGCCGGCUCCCUUUUUGAUUUGCUCCGCCAGGAAGUAAUUAUAAAACACGACAUCCCUGUCACUAACAAAAUUACUGUAACUACAGGAAUCAUCAGUUUCAGGGAACGGGAACGUGACUGCUUGGAUUCUUUGAUGGAACAAGUAGAUAAAUGCAACUCAGAUAUGCCACCACAGAGGUUAUCAUUUCCAUCAAGAGAUAUAGCACUUGAAUUGCUGAAGACUCCUUUUACUGGUACUUCACCCUCAAAAUGAUUAAAAGACAGAUUUAAAUUCUGCAAAAAGGGAAAGUUUUCCAAAUAUUUUGGAAUCCGGCCGGACAAAUUGUUCCGCGAAAGAUCAAGAUUCUCAAUGCCUCUCAAAGAACUGAAUGACGAAGGUAUAUUCCCUUGAAAGAAAUUACCAUUCAUGAUGAGUUGCACCAACAAAAUGCAACUUCCUAAACUACUUGGAAUUUCACCAGACAAUUUGUUCUCAGAUAUAUCUAUAAAACCCAGAUUUUUCAAGAUACCAAAAUUUGAGGGCAUAGGACCAUUCAACUGGUUUUGAGAUAGAUCAAGAUAGAUUGACAAGGAAGAGAGGCCAAUUACUUCAGUGGGUAUGGUACCACUGAGGUUGUUAUUAGAAAGAUUUAAUGAUAUUAAGUUUUGGCAUUUCCCCAGACUUGAUGGAAUGCUUCCCUCUAACAUGUUUUCCUCAAAAUUUAGUGUAGUUAACAAUGUCAAAUUUCCUAUAGAAGAUGGAAUUUCCCCCCAAAACUUGUUCCCCUUCAGGCCCAACCUCUGCAGCUUUUGAAGAUCUCCUAUACUUUCCGGAAUUCGGCCUGUGAAUUUGUUGCCCCCCAGAUGUAAAAGCUCCAAGUUAACAAGAUUUCUUAAUCCACUUGGGAUAUUUCCGAACAACUGAUUGUUUCCAACUGAUAAUAUUGCAAGUCGGUUUGACAAGUUCCCUACUGUUUCAGGUAACAUUCCACCAAAAUUGUUAUCACUAAUUUGCAGUAGCUCUAGUCUAGAAGCGUUAACCAAAGAAUUGACAAAUUCCAAGUUAUCUUUUUCCCCAUAAUUUCCUAAGUGAUUCUGAGAAAUACUAACCCAUUGGAGUUUAUGUAAAUUUUCCAAACUAGGCACCCUUCCACUGAAUCCAUUCUUUGCGAUUGUAAGUCUCAUUAGAUUUGAGGCAUUGGAUAUUGAAGCCGGAAUAGGUCCGGUAAACUGAUUACCACCAACGUUUAGUACUUCAAGUUUAGGAAGAGUGAAGCCUAAGUCUGAUGGAAGGCUUCCUUGAAGUUGGUUAAAAGGAAAAUAAAAACCACUAAGCCAAGACAAGUUGUAGAUUGAAAAGGGGAUUUCACCUGAUAGCUUAUUUGCUCCAAACGAUAUAUAACGCAUCAUCUUAAGCUCGCUCAGGGUUUCAGGAAUUUGUCCCACAAAUUGAUUUGCAGCUGCUGAGAGGACCUGGAGUGAUGACAAAUUGCCGAAGGAAGGUGGGAUUUCUCCUGACAAAUUGUUGGAGUGUAUUACGAGAAUCCGGAGCUUUGGUAAGGAGCCCAGUUUCCCUGGAACUUUCCCCACUAGCUCAUUGAAGUCUAACCAGAGGGAUUCAAGGUUAACGCAAUGCGAUAUGUUGUCAGGAAUUUGACCUCCGAAUGUAUUGUUGUCCAGCCUUAAAAUUCGUAACCUGAACAGAUAUCCAAUCGCUUGAGGGAUUUCGUUGCGGAGGCUAUUGUUUUUUAGAUCUAACACUCUGAGAAAACUCAAAUUACCAAUGUGAGGCGAAAGAGACCCCUGCAAGAGUAAAGAUGGAAGACGUAAUCCAGUCACCCUUUGGUGCCGUCGACUGCAAGUGACACCUUUCCAUUGACAAAAGUGCCUGGAAUAGUUCCAUGAACUCAAAACCUCAAGAGGGUCAUGAGUAACUUUGGCCUUGAAUUCAAGCAAUGCAAGUUGAUCAGUUUCAUUGCUUUUGAGCAUAUAAUCGGUUGACUGCAAGCUGAAGCUGACGCAACAGAAAAUAAAGAAACAAAUGCUUACAAUGAUUGAACUCAUCAUGUUUACAAAAUCCAUUUAACUGCCGAAAGGAAAUUAAAAUGAUAAAACUUUUAUAGAGGUUGGUAAGAUAAACUAUGUUUGUAUAUUUUUUGCAAUGAUUUAUGGACUCUGUACUUGAUGCUCAAAUGUGAACCGGCUGGCACCGUGACAGUGAAACUAAUGCUUUUUAUUUUUCUAAUAAUAUUAAUUAUCAAAUUUAUUACUAUUGUAAGAAUAAUAUAAUACAGCUUUUCCUUUAAGGAAGACCCGCCACACUAACUUUUGACGCUCUAUCAGUUUCCAGUAUUUUGUCAUUUUGUAUUGUAGUGCUUAAUCCACAAUGAAUAUAAAACAAUUUAAUCAACAUUAUUAGAAAAAGAAAAAAAGUAGGAGAAGAAAGUUAAGUAUGAUGGAUGGAGGGUCAGAUUACUGUUAAAUGACUUAAAGGUUUAAAGCACCACAGGAAUCAACGUUUCACAACGCUUUUUUCCCUUUCUGAAAUAUUCGGUGCAUUAGUUGACUAGAAUUAUAAUAUAUCAAACAACUACAAGAAAUAUUUUAAUUUAUCAUUUUACUAUUAUAUAUUUACAUAACUUAUCAUUUUACUAUAUUUCCGUAGUACCAUUAGUUGACUAGAAAAAUGUUAAUUUUACUUUUGAAAAAAAACACAAAUGGAUAUAUUAAAUAUUUUUAGCUACUUUUUAUUUUGAAUUUAUAAUGUUGUAAUACUUUGUGUUAUUAUUACUUUUUAUUUUGCAAAAACAAAUUAUAUAAAGAGAAAAAUUAAUAUUUUAUCAAUUAACUAAUUGAUCUAUAUUAAUUGAAAUAUAAUAAAUUAAUAUUUUAUCAAUUAACUAAUUGAUCUAUAUUAAUUGAAAUAUAAUAAAAUAAUAUUUUAUUUUUAAAUAUAAUAAAAUAAUUUUCCCAUGAAAGAAAAUGAUGAGUUGUUUCAACGUAAUGCAGCUGCCUAGACUACAUGGAAUUUCACCAGGCAAUGACAAUUUAUUCUCAGAUAAAUCUAACGCCACAACAUUUAUCUAGUCACCCAAAUUUGCAGGCGUUCGUUUUGAGACUUGUCAAAACUUUUUCCAAAAAUUCGGGAUUCAGGUCAUAUCAGGCCGGUUAUGUUUUGAAAAACUUGUAAAUUAUCAGUGAUCAAACUUCAAAACUUUGCAAAUAGGUCAAAAUACGGAAAAAAACUUGAUAUAUUAUUGAAUACUCAUUUUGUUUUGCAUUAAUAUAACGCUAUGGGUGAUAUCUAGUUCUGUUGGUAAAAUUUCUUGGGUUGAAAACAAGAAAACUAGCAUUUCAAACUCACUCAUAUGGAUGGGAAAGAAAUUUAGUUAUUAUUGGAUUAAAAAAUAAUAAUGAGAAUUAGAAAAAAAUUAUAAGGCUUCAACGAGAUUUGCUAAUCAUGUAUAGAUUAAUAUGGAGAUUAAGAACAUCACCUAAGCUAAUUAUUGAACUUGAAAGUUUAGGAGAAAAAAUUAUAUGGGUUUGGCCAUCAAUUUAGCAUUCGGAACUUAUUGUUUAGGAAGCUACGGCGGGUUUCGUAGUGGGACUUAUCCUCUUUAAUGCAUAUGGUGAUUUUAAACCAACAUAUAUAUAAUCCUAUUAUAAAACUCAUCAAACCUUCUAAAAUAACAUGUUGAGAUAGUGUGCUAGAUCCAUAUAAAUAUUUCUCCAACUUCUUAGCUUGAAGCGAUAUUCAUUUCCAUUGAUAGUUUAAUGGGCAAAGCCUUUUGAAUUCUCCAUGUUAUCAAGUUAACUUUUGCUGGAAAAUGCAAUGCGGAUAUGAAUAGAAUUUUUUGUGCAAACAAUUUUUCUAUGUUGACACAUCCUCUGGAACUUUCAGUAAAUUUUAUGGAGAAGCUUCAAUUUCUUGGUUGUUGAUUUCGAAUACAUUAAGCUCUUAUUUGGUAUUAAAGUAUUGUGGGCUAAAAGCUAUAGUUUUUAUGGAAAGAAAUUUGUAAUUGCGAAAUAAAAGUUGAUUCAGUGUGAUAAAUAUAAUUUCAGAAUAAAAAAUAAAGUAAACUUCGAAAUUAUAAUAGUAAGUAUUUAUUAAAUACUUUAGUGUUGCAGUAACUGUUUACUACAAUAUCAAAUAGGGGGCUAGUACAACAAGUUGUUAUAUUAAAAGUCUCCCAAAAAGGAAGAAGUGACUUAAAAAAUUAAAAGAAUGCAGGAGCUGAAGUUGGCAAUUUUGUAAAUUGCAAUGGCGAUUGUGAUAUAGUAAAAUCCUUCAAUGAAUCACAGCACUAGCGAUUUCGUAAUAUACAGUAGCGGCAAUUUUGUAAAAUUGAAGUAGUGAUAGUUUUGCAAAUAAAAGUAAAAACUUUUUCCCAAAAUUUGGCUGAGCAAAAAGCCAGCUUAGCCCACACUCUCCUUCGCCACUGGUUGAUGAGCUCUUCCUUCAAUUUUUGAACUUGAAGUGAUGCCCCAUCAACGUCCAGAAUUUUUAAAGUCUCCCCACUGUACAAGUUAAACAAUAAAGUCAGAAUGAUGACGGAGUUACAAACAAUCAAAUAUGAUCCUAAUGAUUCUUUUUAUACACUCACCCGUGCAUUGAUGUGUUUAAUUGAUAUAUAUUUAAGCAGAAAUUGAAGUUUGAACCUGAUUAAUUAGAUGCGAACACACAUUCAUGAGUAAUUACUUAAAAUUAAUUAACCAAAAGAGUAAAUAUAGGAGGAAAUCGAUCAUAUGCGUGCGGACACCACAAUCGAAUUAUAUAUUUAUAUCACCACAGCACAUAAAUUUUAUUCGAAUGAUAUAUGAUUAAUUAAUCAAUUUUUAAUAACAAUUAAAUUAUAAUGUCAAUUGUGCACAUAAGAUUUUUUUUCUUGAUGAAAUUAUGAAAGUUAGUAAUUAUUUUCCAUUUUUUAAAUAAUAGUUGUUAAUACAAAUCAAAAAAAUAUUGGGACUUGAGAUCAGGGUCUACUUGAGUUAGAAUUUUUUAUUAGAGAAGCUAUUAGCCAGCAAUACAAAAUAAAGAAGCAACACAAGAUAAAGAGUAAUAUAUUAUAGAAAGAUUUUAUUCGUUUCAAGUGUGUAUCAAACAAAGAGAUAUUUAUAGUUACAUAAUUACUACAUGAAAUUAAUGAAAACAUUAUGGAUCAUACUUCCUUGCGAGAUAGUGAAAGUUAUAGAGAAGGCAAAGGUUGCUAGUGGAAGAUAGUAGAGAGAUUAAGAGAUGUAUGUUAUAAACAUCCAGAUUUAUUUUAAUAAAUUCAUAGCAUUUUUUCCCCUCAAAUAAUAGGGUGUAGAGAACAAUUGGAAGGAGUUUACGCAGCCUAUAAAUUAAUACUCUGACGAAUUAAUAUCCUCUAUUAUAUAAUGACUUUUUUUAAGCACACUAAUAGGCUAAAAUGACAGUUCCAAUAAAUAAAUAAAAUAAUAUAUUUUUUUUGAAAACCCUUACAUAAUAUUGUGGUCCUACUCAUAUCAUAAAUUAAUAAUUUUUAAAUUAUAUAUAAUUAUUACACAUAAAUUAUAUAUUUUUUAAUAAAUUCAUAAUAUUUUUUCUCAAAUAAUAGGGUGUAGAGAACAAUUAGAAGGAGUUUACAAGACUCGCCUAUAAAUUAAUACUCUGGCGAAUUAAAAUCCUCUAUUAUAUAAUAAUUUUUUUUAAGGUUGCUAGUAGGCUAAAAUGAUAGUUCCAAUAAAUAAAUAAGAUUAUAUUUUUUUUUAAUGAAAACCCUUACAUUACAUUAUGGUCCUACUCAUAUAAUAAAUUAAUAAUUUUUAAAAUUACAUAUAUAAUAUUUUAUUUUAAAAAUAUGAUUUUAUUUUUUAUUAUUUUUUCUUGAAAUUUAAAUAUAGUUAGAUUUCAUCUCUAAUUUUUCUUAUUACUUUUGAGGUUAAAUUUUGAAAUUGCAAAAAUUUUGAAUUUUUUUGGUUAAUUAAAUCUGCAGUGAGUGUAUAAGAUGAUUAGAUUAGUAAAAUAUAAUAAAUUUUUAGUUGAUUAAAUAUAUGUUCAUUUAAUAUGUCUUGUGUAUACAGAGUUUACUAAGGACAAGCCGAAUAGUAAGUGAGCAUUUACACUAAUCAAUCGUGUUGAGUUGUGUCUCAUAUUGGCUAGUAAAGGGGAGAUACUUGGGUUUAUAAGAAGGUAUGUCACUCCACCUAAAAGACUAGUAUUUUGGGUUGGAUACCUAGAAAUCUUAUGUUAAGUCCCCUCAACAAAUCGGUAUUGUGCAAUGAAAAUAAGUAAUCUAAAAAUUGCCUAGGAUUUUGCCUUAUAUGUCUCAAAAUAAGCUAAUUAUGCCCAAUUAUGGCACUUGAUGGUUCAACUUUGACAUCAAAGUUGGAAACGUUUUUCUCUAGGGUGAGGCUAUUUGCACUUGAAUAUCUACUUUGAACACUCAUUUACUCAGCGCACUCAAUUAAUAAUUUCAAACUAUUAAAUUUUACUUGGAACACUCUUUUGAAUUCCUAUAUUAUCCACAUUUCUUUAAUUACUUUAUUUCUUCUUUGUACCCAAUAAAAUAUUCAUCAUCACAAACAAAAUAUCUAACUUUUUUUUUCCAUUUUUAUUCACUUUUAUUUUCUGUUCAUAAUCUGUUUUGAUAUGUAUUUGUUCUUCUCUUAUUGCUACAAUUUAAUUCUGUUUGUCAACCCAUAAAAGCAUGCGAAUUGAGUGAAAAUCAAAGUGCAAAUUUAAAACAAAAUCCUUUGAUUUACUUGCGUUUUCUUAUGUUGGAGUGGUGCAAUUUGUUGUUUGUCCUCCACCUCUAUUUUUAAUUCCUUUUGUUUCAGUUAUAAAGAUGAUCAUGAACAUGUUACUUGAUGUUUUCCUAGCAAUUCUAUUAACCAAAAAAAUGAAAAAAAAAAGUUUAGUCCAUAAGUAUAGACAAUGUUUUCAUUUGAAUAUUGAUUCAAUUCUUCGUUGUUAAUGUGGUUUAUUGUAGAUAAAAUAUAAUGUUAGAUAAAAAUUUGUUAUACUGUAUUUUAUAAUUGUCCUUAAUAGAAAAUUACAUUAAGGUUAAUUUAGUAAUAUAAAAAUUAUUAAAUGUGAGUGUCCAAAGUAAAUUUUAGAGUGCAUAUAGUCUCACCCUUUUCUUUGUGUUAUUAUAAUUAAUUUAGAAAGAGUUAGAAAGCUAAGAGUAUCCUUAGUAAAGCUCAAAUAUGUAAUACAUAUCACUAGUGAGUGAGUUUCAUAAACUUUCCUAAUUAAGUAGAUGAAUUUUGGGUUGUAAAUCCUAACACAAUAUCUAUUCAGUUGUUGAGCCUAAAAUAUCACAACUAAAUCGAUAUUGUCCGAUGUAGUCAUGCAACCCUACAUCUUCUUAGUUAGGACAAUUCAUGAAACCACUUAUUUGGGAUGUAGGAGAUGAUACAAAAUUUGUAUGUGCACGUUGGCUUAAUAUCCCAAUUACACACUCGUUUGUCUUCAUGUGCUCCGAAAAGAUCUAUUGUAAUGGAUAUAUUGUAUCUUUAUCAAAGUGCUUGUUAUAAUGAUUCUAUUGUGGUGUUAUUCGAGUUGUCACUUUUAGUUUUUGAUUAUCUUUUUUAAACAUAGUUAAUUUGAAAUGUUCUUUAAUAUCCAACACACUUGAGAUCAUCAAAUAAGUGAUUCCCGAACAUAAUUGCCUCUGAUCAUUUUGUUUGUGCCAAUAAAGGGUUGAUACAAACCAAAGACUUCUUGUCUUUAUUGUCAUUUGAGAGUAAUCAAUUACUUACGCAGUCACAUAAGUUACUGGUUGGCCUCGCACAUUUGAGAGUAACCAAAUGGAAAUGAGAGCAACGUGAUUUUCCAAAGAGAACUUCACACUAUCAUAAAACUGAAAACAUUACAAUUUAAAGCUUAAAUAACAACACACCAAAGCCAAAUAACGACCCACUAGAAUCAUGGUCCAAAGAUUGUUCCAUGAUCACAACAUGAACUACAAAAAAAAAAAAAAAAAAAAAACCAACACCAAAAAAGUAGGAACAAUUUGAAACUUUCGACUAAGCAACAUUUAUGAUCACAUCAGCAGUCCUAAACACAUCUUCUAACAAUUGCAACUGUUCAUUUUUGCUUCUGCCAAUAAACAGUUGAUAGUAACCAAAGAUUGUUGUCUUUAUUGUCAUUUAAGAGUAACCAAUUACUUACGCAGUCACGUUAGUUGCUGGUUGGCCUCGCACAUUUUUGACAAGUUUGUUUCUGAAGGAAAGCAGCUGAGCCGCAACCUCUUCCAUGCUCAUUCGUUCUCUCGGCAACUCUGAAGAGCAAGUGACUCCGAUUCCCAGUACUGAAACCAAGCACUCUUCAACACUAAAAUUUCUGGUCCAUUGUUUGUGAGCACUGGUCUCGCUUGUCUCCCCUUCUUCUCUUUCUACAAGAAGCACUGGAUCAACAAUUUCAGCGAGCCUUUCAGGAAGAGCUUCCUUGACAAAAUUAUGCAGGGUUAGAUUGCCUGUAAACAUCUCAUUCGUCGGCCUCUUUCCUGUAAACGUUUCCAGCAAGAGUAUGCCAAAACUGUACACAUCUCCACUUUUUGAGACCUCACUCCCCAUUCCGUACUCUGCAAUUUGAAAAUUAAAACUGUUGGUUCAACUAGUAAAAUCUCUAAGGAAUGCAAAAGAAGUUAAUUAAAUUAUAGUAUUUGCCUGGAGCAGCAUAACCAACGGUUCCUUUAACUCCAGUAGAGCUUGAUUGAUUAGAUGACAAGUUAUUGGUGGCGUCCGGAAGGAAUUUCGCUAAUCCAAAAUCACUUACAUGGGCAGUCAAUUCACCAUCCAGAAGAACAUUGCUCGGCUUGAGAUCACAAUGGACUAUUGGAUUUUCGCAGUAGUGAUGAAGAUAAUCCAAUGCGGAAGCCACAUCAACGGCAAUAUUCAGUCUUUGGAGGAGAUUUAAAUUCCUUGGUGCCUCAGGGUUUGGAUGCAACCAUUCCUCCAGGCUCCCGUUCACCAUGAACUCAUAAACUAAGGCCUCGAAAUCAUUUCCUUGAAAGUCAACACUUGCACACGAAGUUAUUAUUUUGACGAGAUUCCGAUGCCUAAUACUUCUAAAGGCUUGACACUCCGCUAUGAAACUCUUUGAAGCUCCUCGAUGUUGAAGAUUAAGCACCUUAACUGCCACCAGCGUUUCAUGAUCAUCAUCAUUGAGGAUUCCUUGAUAGACCGAACCAAAGCUACCGGCACCAAUCAAGUUUUCCAAAGAGAACCCAUCAGUUGCUUUGAACAGAUUCUGAUAGGACACUCGUAAAACCGAAGCCAAUACUGCUGAUGGAGGAGGGGCCGGCUCCCUUUUUGAUUUGCUCCGCCGGGAAGUAAUUAUCAAACACGACAUCCCUGUCACUAACAAAAUUACUGCAACUACAGGAAUAAUCAGUUUCAGGGAACGGGCACGUGAUUGCUUUGAUUCUUUGAUGGAACAAGUAGAUAAAUGCAACUCAGAUAUGCCACCACAGAGGUUAUCAUUUCCAUCAAGAGAUAUAGCACUUGAAUUGCUGAAGACUCCUUUUAUUGGUACUUCACCCUCAAAAUGAUUAGAAGACAGAUUUAAAUUCUGCAAAAAGAAAAAGUUUUCAAAAUAUUUUGGAAUCCGGCCAGACAAAUUGUUCCGCGAAAGAUCAAGGUUCUGAAUGCCUCUCAAAGAACUGAAUGAUGAAGGGAUAUUCCCUUGAAAGAAAUUACCAUUCAUGACGAGUUGUUCCAACCUAACGCAACUUCCUAGACUGUUUGGAAUUUCACCAGACAAUUUGUUCUCAGAUACAUCUAGAACACCCAGAUUUUUCAAGAUGCCAAAAUUUGAGGGCAAAGGACCGUUCAAUUGGUUUUGAGAUAGAUCAAGAUAGAUUGAUAAGGAAGAGAGACCAAUCACUUCAGUGGGUAUGGUACCAGUGAGGUUGUUAUUAGAGAGAUCUAAUAAUAUCAAGUUUUUGCAUUUCCCUAGACUUGAUGGAAUGCUUCCCUCUAACAUGUUUCCGUCAAAACUUAGUGUGAAUAACAAUGUCAAAUUUCCUACAGAAGAUGGAAUUUCCCCCAAAAACUUGUUCCCCUUCAGUCUCAACCUCUGCAGCUUUUGAAGAUCUCCUAUACUUCCCAGAAUUCGGCCUGUGAAUUGGUUGUCCCCAAGAUCUAAAAGCUCCAAGUUAACAAGAUUUCCUAAUCCACUUGGGAUAUUUCCGAACAAUUGAUUGUUUCCAACGGUAAAUCUUUUAAGUCGGGUUGACAAGUUCCCCACAGAUUCAGGUAACAUUCCUCCAAAAUUGUUAAUACUAAUUUCCAUCAUCUCUAGUCUAGAAGCGUUGACCAAAGAACUGACAAAUUCCAAGUCAUCUUUUUCCCCAUUUCCUAAGUGAUUCAGAGAAAAGCUAACCCGUUGGAGUUUAUAUAAAUUUUCCAAACUCGGCACCUUUCCACUGAAUCCAUUUUUCUGGAUUGUAAGUCUCAUUAGAUUUGAGGCAUUGGAUAUUGAAGCAGGAAUAGGCCCAGUAAACUGAUUAUUACCAAAGUUUAGUACUUCAAGAUUAGGAAGAGUGAAGCCUAAGUCUGAUGGAAGGCUUCCUUGAAGUUCAUUAACAGGAAAAUCCAAAAGACUAAGCGAAGACAAGUUGUAGAUUGAGAAAGGGAUUUCACCUGAUAGCUUAUUUGCUCCGAAUCCUAUUGAACGCAUCCUCUUAAGCUCGCUCAAGGUUUCAGGAAUUUGUCCCACAAACUGAUUUACAGCUGCUGAAAGGAACUCGAGUGAUGACAAAUUGCCAAAGGAAGAUGGGAUUUCUCCUGACAAAUUGUUGAAGUGUACUGCUAGAGUCCGGAGCUUUGAUAAGGAGCCUAGUUUCCCUGGAACUUUCCCCACAAGCUCAUUGAAGCCUAACCAGAGGGAUUCAAGAUUAACGCAAUGUGAUAGGUUGUCAGGAAUUUGACCUCUGAAUGUAUUUUUCUCCAGGCUUAAUUUUUGUAACCUGAACAGAUAUCCAAUCUCUUGAGGGAUUUCGUUGCGGAAGCUAUUGUUUUUGAGAUCUAACACUCUGAGAAAACUUAAAUUACCAAUGUGAGGCGACAGAGACCCCUGUAAGAGUAAAGAUGGAAGAAGUAAUGCAGUCACCCUUUGGUGCCGUCGACUGCAAGUGACACCUUUCCAUUGACAAAAGUGCCUGGAAUAGUUCCAUGAACUCAAAACCUCAAGAGGGUCAUGAGUAACUUUGGCCUUGAAUUCAAGCAAUGCAAGUUGAUCAGUUUCAUUGCUUUUGAGCAUAUAAUCGGUUGACUGCAAGCUGAAGCUGAAGCAACAGAAAAUAAAGAAACAAAUGCUUACAAUGAUUGAACUCAUCAUGUUUACAAAAUCCAUUUAACUGCCGAAGGAAAUUAAAAUGAUAAAACUUUUGUGGAGGUUGGUAAGAUAAACUAUGUUUGUAUAUUUUUUGCAAUGAUUUAUGGACUCUGUACUUGAUGCUCAAAUGUGAACCGGCUGGCACCGUGACAGUGAAACUAAUACUUUUUGUUUUUCUAAUAAUAUUAAUUAUCAUAUUUAUUACUAUUGUAAGAAUAAUAUAUUGCAGCUUUAAAGAAAGACUCACCAUACUCCUUUUCGAGUCCUGUCAGUUUCCAGCAUUUGGUCAUUUUUUUAUUUCACCGCUUAAUCCACAGUAAAUAUAAAACAAUUUAAUCAACAAUAUUGAAAAAGAAAAAAAGUAGGACAAGAGAAAGGUAAAUACUGUUAAAUGAGUUGGGAAACGUUCAAAGCACGACGGGAAUUAAAAUUAUAAACUUUUAUAAAGGUUGGUAAGAAAAAACAUAUUUGUAUAUAUUUUUUUCAAUGAUUUAUGGACGCUAUACUUGAUGCUGAAAUGUGAACCGGCUGGCACCGGGACAGUGAAACUAAUGCUUUUUAUUUUUCUAAUAAUAUUAAUUAUCAUAUUUAUUACUAUUGUAAGAAUAAUAUAAUACAGCUUUUCCUUUAAGGAAGACCCGCCACACUAACUUUUGACGCUCUAUAAGUUUCCAGUAUUUUGUCAUUUUGUAUUGUAGUGCUUAAUCCACAAUGAAUAUAAAAGUUUAAAGCACCACAGGAUGAUGGAUGGAGUUUCACAUUACUGUUAAAUGACUUUGAAAGGUUUAAAGCACCACAGGAACCAACGUUUCACAAUGCCUUUUUCCCUUGUGAAAUAUUCAGUGCAGUCUCUCCCAGAUUUUGCUAGUGCAACAACGAGACGUCAUGCCGUUAACAAUUUUAAACUGUAAAUGACAUGUUGUUUUUACAAGACAUAUUAUGCGUCGAUACAUACCUUUUCUGGUUGUUGGUUUAUAAAAAUAUAUGAAACGGCAUGAGUGUGACAACUCUUGUAAAAUUUUUAAAAACAACAUAAUCAAUGGUAUUCUUAUCUCCCAGCUGCCGUUUGCCGUUUGGAAUUGUUCUGUAUAAGAUCUUGAUCAUCGAAUUUACCACUAGGGCGUAUGCUUUAUUUUCUCGAAUUACAUUGCUGCCUCAUCUUUUGUGUUUUCGGUUCUGUUGUGGAUCUCCUCUGUUUUUUUCUGAUUUUGGGCCCGAAGGGCACGUUAAUUGAAAUCAACAAAUCUGGUAAAAAUGACGUUAAAUUCGAUCAGAUUUACAUAUUUAAUUACAAAUGCAGUAACCCCGAUCAGAUGCAUACACUAAUUUUAUUUAUUUUGUCAGCUUUAACCUCACUGUCAUUUUGAAUAGCCUACAAGAGUCGAAUGACUAGAUUUCCAAUUUGCUAUCAUCCCCCUUGAAUGGGUUCAAGAAAUUCAGCAGGUUGCGAAACAAUAAGAUUCAUUCAAUCCGUGUAGAUAUCUAACUGACUGAAAUUAAAUAAAUGAUGAUGAUAAGAAAUUUGAAAUCAACAAAUCUCGGCACAUCUAUUCUGCAAUUUAGCCGUACUUCAAAUAAUCUUGCGAUAAAAAUUUCUUAAAAAUCUCAGAAAGAGGACAGAACAACCAAGGCAUCAGCGAAAGCAAUCGAUGUUAGGAAAUUGGUGGGUGCAGCAGUACCGCAACUAAAAUAAAAUUGGAAAUAAAAUAAAGAACAAGCACAAUAGAGGACACCAAAAAUUACGUGGUUCGGCUUUUAGCCUACAUCUACGGGCGAAGACAGAAGGAAAUAUUUUACUAGUGAAAUAAGGAUUACAAGUAUUGUAAGAUUUUAGCUCACUACCCAAAACCCCAAUACACCCAAUCUCUCACUCACUACACAUGCAAGAGUUUAUUAAACUCUUGAAAACUCUCAACACUCAAAGAAAGAAAAAUUUCUCUCAAUGGAAUUGAAUACAAAAUGAAAUGAGGAGCUCUGCCUUUUAUAGCCAAAAAAUGGCUAUUAAAUUAUUAUUUUUACCACCGUCUUCAUUCUGCUAUUUUCUUCUUUCUUCUUUUUUCUUCAUUCCAAAUUUGCUGCUGCCAAAUUCUUCAACAUUUUCUUUGGCCGGCUGUCAAAGCCAACUUUGCUUAUUCAAGGGUUCUAGAUGCAGUAGCUUCUAGAUGCAGCCAAAUUUGACAUUCUCCCACUUGGAGAUUAGAUUGAGAAUCAAUCAAUCUCCACAUCAUCCUUUCUGUUUCGCCAUAAUCAUGUUGCCUACGUUGCUGCUAGGCCACAAGAGGAUCUACUCCAGAUAAACUUGUCAGCAUUUAUUGGCUUGGUCAAAACAUCUGCUAGGUUCUCCUUCGUAUGGAUUUUCUGCAAAUCCACACUUCCAUCUUCCACUACUUCUCGAACGAAGUGAUACUGAACUCCUAUGUGCUUUGUCCUGGAAUGAAAGGCUAGAUUCCUUGCAAUGUGCAAGGCACUCUGACUGUCACAAAACACAAGAAUUUUCUGUUGUUUGUGCCCGAGCUCCUCCAAUAAUCUUUGUAUCCAAAUAGCUUCCUUGCAAGCUUGUGUAGCUGCCAUGUAUUCUGCUUCUGUUGUAGAUAAUGCCACAACGGUCUGCAGUUUCAAAACCCAGCUUACAGCUGCUCCCGCAAGUGCAAACACAUAACCAGUAGUGGAUUUCCUUUUAUCAAGGUCUCCUGCAAAAUCUGAAUACACAUAGCCCCUGACAGUAAACUCUGAUCCUCCAUAACAUAAUGCAACAUCUGAGGUUCCUCUGAUGUAUCUCAGAAUCAUCUUCACAGCUAUCCAAUGCUCUCCGCCAGGAUUCGCCAUGUAUCGACUGACUGCUCCCACUGCUUGUGCAAUGUCCGGUCUUGUACAUAUCAUAGCGAACAUUAAACUUCCCACUGCUGAUGCAUACGGUACUCGAGACAUCUCCUUCCUCUCUGCUUCAUUGCUAGGACACAUACUUGAGGAUAAUUUGAAAUUAACAGGAAAUGGGGUAGAAAUUGACUUACAAUCUUGCAUGUUGAAGCGCCGCAAGAUUUUCUUCAAGUAAUUCUUCUGUGAUAGCCAAAUCUUCCUGUUAUUUUUGUCUCGGUGAAUUUGCAUCCCUAGAAUCUUGUUUGCUGGUCCCAAGUCCUUCAUUUCAAACUCCCUAGCCAACUGUGCCUUCAAUUCUUGGAUUCGAUCUUUGUUGGGACCUGCUACCAACAUGUCAUCUACAUACAACAGCAAAAUGAUGAAAUCAUUAUCUUCAAACCUCUUGUAAUAUGCACAAUGGUCUGAACUGAGUCUGUUGUAUCCAAGGCUCAUGAUGAAGGAAUCAAAUCUCUUAUACCAACACCUCGGCGCCUGUUUGAGACCGUAUAGAGAUUUGUUCAACUUGCAAACCAAGUUCUCCUUUCCUGUUUCUGCAAAACCUUCUGGUUGGAGCAUAUAUAUUUCUUCUUCAAGUUCUCCAUGAAGAAAUGCAGUUUUCACAUCUAACUGCUCUAGAUGUAGGUCAAAUGUAGCACACAUUGCCAAGACUAUUCUGACUGUUGUGAGUCGAACCACGGGCGAAAAUAUCUCGUUGAAGUCAAUGCCUUCUUUCUGAGCAUAUCAUUUCACCACCAAUCUUGCACGAUACCGCUCCACUUGGUCAUUGCCAUCACGCUUGAUCUUGUAGACCCAUUUGUUUCCAAUGGCUUUUCUUCCAUGUGGUAGUGGUACAAGUUCCCAUGUCUUGUUCUUGUGUAGAGCUUCAAUUUCUUCCUGCAUUGCUGUCAUCCACAAAGCAACAUCUGAGCUGUUUAAAGCUUCAUGGAAAGUUGAAGGCUCUCCAUCCUCUGUUAAAAGACAGUAUGCAACGUUGAUCUCUGUGACAUACUCAGAGUGCCACACCGGCGGUCGUCUCUCACGAGUUGACCGACGAACUUCUGGAGCCUCGGACUCGACUGGUUCUUGUUCCUCGUGCUCUGGUGCUGCUUCAGAAGAAUCUGAAUCUUCUGGAUUAUUUUCUACAUAUACCGGCACAAUCUCUGACUUUUCUUUUACAGUGCCAUCAUCUCCAUCUUUCAUUUGCAGUUGAUCUUCUACAAAAAUAACAUCUCUGCUGAUGACGAUCUUGUGGGCAGUGGGGUCCCACAGACGAUACCCCUUUACUCCAUCAGCAUACCCCAAGAAGAUACAUCUUCUAGAUUUUGGAUCCAACUUUGUUCUUUCUUGGGCAUUGUACAUCACGUACACAGGACAUCCAAAUGCAUGUAGGUAGGAAUAAUCAGCUGGCUUUCCAGUCCACAUCUCCAUCGCCGUCUUCAACCCAAUCGCUGUAGAUGGUGAUCGAUUUACUAUAUAACAGGCAGUUUUGGCUGCUUCUGCCCAUAAUGAAUUGGGUAAACCAGCAGUCCUCAACAUAGCUCUUAUUCUUUCUGUAAGAGUUCUGUUCAUCCGCUCUGCCACUCCAUUUUGUUGAGGAGUGUACGCCACCGCGAACUGCCUCUGAAUACCUUCUUGCUUACAGAAAGCAAGAAACUCGCCCUCUGUAUAUUCUCCACCAUUAUCCGUCCUCAAGCACUUGAUCUUUUUACCAGAUUCAAGUUCCACACGCGCUUUGUAUUCUUUAAACACAGGAAAUACAUCUGACUUUUUCUUAAUUGGAUACACCCAACAUCUUCUAGAAUAAUCAUCAAUGAAAGUCACUAUGUACUUUGCACCUCCCAUGGAUAUAUCCGGUGAUUCCCAAACAUCAGAAUGAAUCAAGUCUAGAAUGCAUUUACUUCUAGCAAUAGAUCUACUGAAUUUUAAUCUAUGCUGCUUACUUAUAACACAAUGCUCGCAAAAUGGUCUGAAUUUUAAUCUAUGCUGCUUACUUAUAACACAAUGCUCGCAAAAUGGUAAACUUACCGAUUUGAGCCCCGGAAGCAAUUUUCGCUCAGAGAGAAUCUUCAAGCCUUGUUCUGACAUGUGACCAAGUUUGAGAUGCCACAUCAUCGUUGAUUCUUCUCCAUUUGACGCGACACACGUAUUAGCCUCCUGUAGUGUUUCUCCUCUAAGCAUGAAUAGAUUAGCACCGAUCUUUUCUGCUUUCAUCAAUACAAGCGCGCCUUUAACGAUCUUCAUAAUUCCAUUCUCCACAUGAGUUUUGUACCCAUGACUAUCCAUGUGUCCCAAAGACAAUAGAUUUUUCUUCAAGCCAUUGACAUGUCGUACCUCUCCAAUUGUGCGAAUUGUACCAUCAAACAUUUUUAUUUUGAUAGUACCAAUACCAGCGAUCUCCAAGGCAUGAUCAUCUCCCAUAUAUACAGAUCCUCCUGAGAUAGGUUCAUAUGUGUGGAACCAUUCUCUCCGAGAGGUCAUGUGCCAGGUAGCUCCUGAGUCUAUAAGCCAGACAUCAGACAAUCGUUUUCUGCCUUCUGAAACAGUUGUUGCCUCGCUGUAAAGAAUUUCGCCAUCAUCUGAGGUACUUGCUACACAACCCUGAGCAUUUGAUGACUCAGGUUCUUUUCCCUCUUUUCUCUUCUGGUUACUCCAACAUUCUUUCUUGAUGUGCCCUUUCUUGCCACAUUUGUAGCAUUUAACAUUAUUCUUACUCAUGGAUUUUGAUCUACCCUGAUUUUGACUCCCACUGGGGCCACGUUCCGUUGAUCUCCCUCUCGUCACCGAUAGCGCCUCCGCUUGCUGCGAACUUGCUUGUCUGUUUUCCUUAUUUUUCCACCUGCUCUCCUCAUUUAAUACGGAGGCUGCAACAUCGUCGAAAACUAGACUCUCCACUGGAUUGUUGUUCGUCAGGUUGAUGAUGAGUUGAUCAUACGAAUCUGGUAGACUUUGAAGUAGAAGCUCUGCACGUUCAUUUUCCUCUAUAUUAUGACCCAACAUUGUGAGUUGUGAAAAUAGAGUCUUCAAUGUGUUGAUGUGGUCGGUCACCAUUGUAGAUUCCGUCAUUCGAAGAGUAUAGAGUUUUCUCUUCAAGAAGAUUUUGUUGUGUAGUGACUUGGCCUCAUACAAUUUUGUGAGAGUAUCCCAUAUUUCCUUCGCCGUAUUUUUCUCUGCCACACUGGAUAAUACUCCAUCCGCAAGUGCCAAGUGUAGAUCAGAAAUGGCGUUGCCGUCUACCUCGUUCCACUUGUCAUCAGUUAUCUCCAUGGGCCUUUCUCCAAUUGCUGCCAAACAAUUAUUUUUCCUCAAUACAGCUUUCAUCUUCAUUUUCCACAAUGAAAAAUUAUUUCCGUUAAACUUCUCAAUUUCAUACUUUGCCGCCAUUUUGUUGAUAAAUACUGUACACAAGUUAGUGUACCACCUUGAAUAGUUGUGAGUAUGUGUGAUAAUGCACACCAGGAAAGUUCCCAGGAAAGACUGGAGGGGUCACAAUGGUCCCACUUAAAACCCAGACUCCUUAAGCUCUUAUCGCCUUUGUGACAGAACUUUCCUAGACAUGUACAAAACCACAGUUGUUUUUCUCACACUACUAUUCCCUGCUUUGCACCGGAAAAUUCUUGGAUCGCUUCCACCGUUUCACGUGAAUAGUACCGUAUACGUGAACAAUACCAUAUAUGUGAACAAACCCGUAUACGUGAACAACACAGUAUACGUGAAUAGUGUCGUAUACGUGUACAGUGCCGUAUACGUGAAUAGUACCCCUUACGUGAACAGUUCCCGACUCCAAAAAUACAACCAAUAGCUCUGAUACCACUGUUAGGAAAUUGGUGGGUGCAGCAGGACCGCAACUAAAAUAAAAUUGGAAAUAAAAUAAAGAACAAGCACAAUAGAGGACACCGAAAAUUACGUGGUUCGGCUUUUAGCCUACAUCCAUGGGCGAAGACAGAAGGAAAUAUUUUACUAGUGAAAUAAGGAUUACAAGUAUUGUAAGAUUUUAGCUCACUACCCAAAACCCCAAUACACCCAAUCUCUCACUCACUAGACAUGCAAGAGUUUAUUAAACUCUUGAAAACUCUCAACACUCAAAGAAAGAAAGAUUUCUCUCGAUGGAAUUGAAUACAAAAUGAAAUGAGGAGCUCUGCCUUUUAUAGCCAAAAAAUGGCUAUUAAAUUAUUAUUUUUACCACCGUCUUCAUUCUUCUAUUUUCUUCUUUCUUCUUUUUUCUUCAUUCCAAAUUUGCUGCUGCCAAAUUCUUCAACAUUUUCUUUGGCCGGCUGUCAAAGCCAACUUUGCUUAUUCAAGGGUUCUAGAUGCAGUAGCUUCUAGAUGCAGCCAAAUUUGACAAUCGAGGCAGGGCACGCUCAAGCCACGAAUUAGAGGAAUUUUAAAUAUCAAAACCAGCUCAGAAUAAUAAGAAGUAAAAUGAAACUAAAAAAGGCUCAGAUUUUUGGAUGAGUGAAGGGAAGAUGAGAAGAUGAAAUGCAGAAAGUCAAGAAAUGAAUAAACCAAUAUUAAUAAUCUUGGACCCACAUCUCUAAUUUGGAUUAAGCAUCCAUCUGCCUAUGUGGAUAAUAUUUUUGCUAAUUUUUCAGCCAUGCAGCAGGAUCAUGUUCGUCUUGUUUUAUUUGAUAGAAGGAAUUUUCCCUUGGAAGAAAAUGAUGAGUCGUUUCAACGUAAUGCAGCUACCUAGACUGCAUGGAAUUUCACCAGACAAUGACAAUUUAUUCUCAGAUAUAUCUAAAUCUAACGCCCCCACAUUUGUUUAGUCACCCAAAUUUGAAGGCGUCCGUUUUGAGACUGAUCAAAACUUUUUCCAAAAAUUCGGGAUUCAGGUCGAUCAGGCCGGUUAUGUUUUGAAAACUUGUAAAUUUUCAGUGAUCAAACUUCAAAACUUUGCAAAUAGGUCAAAAUAUGAAAAAUUCUUGAUAUAUUAUUGAAUACUCAUUUUGUUUUGCAUUAAUAUAAGGCUAUGGGUGCUAUCUAGUAAUGUUGGUAAAAUUUCUUGAGUUGAAAACAAUAAAACGAAAAUAGCUCUAAUAGAUCCACCCCUGUUUGAAACUCACUCAUAUGGAUGGGAAAGAAAUUUAGUUACCAUUGGAUUAAAAAAUAAUUAUUAUUAUUAGAAAAAAAAUUGUAAGGCUUCGACAAGAUUUGCUAAUCAUGUAUAGGUUAAAAUUUAUGUGGGUUUGGCCACCAAUUUAGCAUUAGGAACUUAUUGUUUAGGAAGCUAUGGUGGGUGUCGUAGUGGGACUUAUUCUCUUUAAUGCAUAUGGUGAUUUUAAACCAACAUUUAUAUAAUCCCAUUAUAAAACUCAUCAAACCUUCUAAAAUAACAUGUUGAGAUAGUGUGCUAGAAGUAUUUCUCCAACUUCUUAGCUUGAAGCGAUGUUCAUUUCCAUUGAUAGUUUAAUGGGCAAAGCCUUUUGAAUUCUCCAUGUUAUCAAGUUAAUUUUUGCUGGAAAAUGCAAUCCGGAUAUGAAUAGAAUUUUUUGUGCAAUCGAAUUUUCUAUGUUGACACAUCUUCUGGAACAUUCAAUAAAUUUUAUGGAGAAGUUUUAAUUUCUUAGUUGUUGAUUUCGAAUAUAUUAAGCUCUUAUUCAGUAUUAAAGUAUUGUGGCCUAAAAGAUAUAGUUCGUAUGGAAAGAAAUUUGUAAUUACAAAAUAAAAAUUGAUAAAGUGUGAUAAAUAUAAUUUCAAAAUAAAAAAUAAACUUAACUUCAAAAUUACAAUAGUAAUUAUAAAGUAUUUACUAAAUACAUUAGUGUUGCAGUAACUGCCCUACCACAAUGACAAAUAGGGGGCUAAUACUACAAAUUGUUCCAUUAAAAGUCACCCAAAAAGGAAGAAGUGACUUAAAAAAUUAAAAGAAUGCAGGAGCUGAAGUUGGCUAUUUUGUAAAUUGCAAUGGCAAUUGUGGCCUAGUAAAAUCCCUCAAUGAGUCACAGCACUAGCAAUUUCGUAAUAUACAUUAGUGGCAAUUUUGUAAAAUUGAAGUAAUGAUAGUUUUGCAAAUAAAAGUAAAAACUUUUUCCCUAAAUUCGGCUGAGCUAAAAACCAGCUUAGCCCACAGUCUCCUUCGCCACCGGUUGACGAGCUCUUCCUUCAAUUUUUGAACUUGAAGUGAUGCCCCAUCGAUGUCCAGAAUUUUUAAAGUCUCCCCAUUGUACAAGUUAAACAAUAAAGUCAGAAUGAUGAUCCUAAUGAUUCUUUUUAGAGAGUCACCUGUACGUUGAAGUGUUUAAUUGAUGUUUAUUUAAGCAGAAAUUGAAGUUUGAUCCUGAUUAAUUAGAUGAGAACACACAUUCAUGAGUAAAUACUUAAAAUUAAAUUAAUCAAAAUAGUAUAAAUACAGGAGAAAAUCGAUCAUAUGCGUACAGAAAUCACAAUCGAAUUAUAUAUAUCACCGCCGCACAGAAAUAACAAUUAAAUUGUAAUGUCAAUUGUCCACAUAAGAUUUUUUUUUUUUUUUUUUUUUUUUUUGUUGAUGAAAGUUAGUAAUUUUUUUCCAUCUUUUUAAAUAAUAGUUGUUAAUAAAUAUCAAGAAAAUAUUGGGACUGGAGAUCAGGGUCUACUUAAGUUAGAAGUGAGAGUAGUGCAGAUAUGUGGGGAUUAUAUGCAAGGUGGCUUAAAAGUAAAGGAGAUCUUACAAUGUGCUCUGAAGCCCUCUUAAAGCAAGUCAGAUCAUAUCAGGUUUCUCCAUAAAUCUCAUCAUCUUAUAAUAAGUUAGCAUUAUGUUUUACUUUGAUGUUGAUGGAAUUUGUUAAUGCUAAUCAAAUUUUGUUAAUCUCCCUCUCUUUUUUUUUUAAUUUAAAAGAAGGCAAAUAAAAAGCUUUGUGAUUUCAUUUUUGUUUUCUAAAUUUGUUAUCUAAAGGAAUGACAAGUUGAUAACUCAGCCUCUGUGUGUGUGUGUCUGUGUCAGGGAUCUGAUUUGUGGAAAGAUAGAGAUCGGUUUAAAAGGUUUUCAUAUGCAUCCUUGGAACUUUGUAAGGUUUACAUGGAAAUUUCUUCCUCUUCCGGUAGCCGUCGAGAGCUCUUUGCUGCUGAGAUGCACCUGAAGAACGUACUUAAACAAGUAAAACACCUUAUAAUUCGAUAUUUAAGACACUUACAGUUGGUUUAAAGAUUGUAUUUUCUGUUUCUGUUUUUGACUGGUUCAGGGUAAAACUUUUUCUCACUGUGUUAGAGUGCAUUUCUGUUAUUAUAUAGUUUCUUAGAAGAAAAUGCACUUUUUGGAAUCUCAGGCUAAAGGAUUUUCUGACAUGGAAGAGUUCAGGGAUCUUCAAGCUUGCCUUGAUGAAGUGAAGACAAAACUCCAAUCUGGUCCCGUGGCUACCUAAGUAUCAGGAAUGUGCUAUUUUUGAAAUUUAGUAACAAGGUUAAAUCUGCAACUAAAAAUUAUUUUAGUUUGUACUGUAGUGGAGACCUUAAGCAGGACUGAAUAUCUUGUAUUGUUGUAUCACCUUUUCUGUAACAAAACGGUCUAGUUUUACUAUUUUUAUUAUUUUUGUAUUUUCGGUGCUGUAACUAAUCUCAUUUGACAAUUUAAAUAUAUGGCUUCAAGUUCUUUAAAUGUAACAUCAAGUGUUGUUUCAACCUCUGUUCUUUUAUGUAUUUCUUGCAUGCGGUGAUUUCAUUAACCUCAAUUUAAGGACAAUUUCAUAUCUUUUUUCUUUCUGCUUUUCUUUUAUCAUUUAAAAACAACACACACACACACACACACAUUUAUAUUUCAGAAGAGGAAAUUGCACGGGAUAUGACUCAAUACUUGCUAAAUGCCAAGACUAUGACCCAAUUAUUUACAUGCCGAGACUAUGACCGAAUAACAAGUGAAAGUACACAAAUAUCCUUAUAAGUAACUAAGUUAAAAAUAUAAAACUUGAGUUAGGAAGUUUAGGAAUGCAUUGAACUUGUAUUCAUUACUUUGAUUAAUCCAUUUACCGUUAUACAAGACAAUAACACGUACCAUAUCCAUUUACAUAAAAAUUAUGAGUUGACAAAGUAAGAAUAUUAACAAAAAUAAGUUGUUAAAAGUUCUUGUAGACUUCUGUGCUUCAGUUCUAGACUUCUAGAUUUAUAGACUUACCUACAUGUCUAUAAGUCUAGAUGUAAAGAAGUCACGAAAACGAUAACAAUGAUAAACAAACUCAAUUCAACAACAAAUUUGAUGUGUAAAAAUUGUGUUGAAGAAUUUUUUGGAAUCUGUUUGAAUUUGUUAAGGGAAUGUGAUGAUUUUAGUAAGUGUUUGAUAACAACUUAGAAUGUUGGACGCAUUAUAGUGCUGGGUGCAUGCUUUUGUUGGAAAAGAUAAGGGCAUUUUAGACUAGGGAUCACCAAAAUGUCAUACAAAUUUAAUUGAGUAAAAUUUGUCAUAUUUAUAUAAAAUGUACAUGAUUUUGUCAUAUAUAAAUAAAAAACCCAUUUCAGAAAGCAUUUAAACAAAGCGAGAGUACAAUAAAAAACCCAUUUUAGAAAGCAUUUAAACAAAGCCAGAGUACAAUAUAGAAAGAUUUUACUCAUUCUAAGUGUGUACCAAACAAAGAAAUGAACUCUCCUUUUCUAGUUAUAUAAUUAUUACAUGAAAUUAAUAAAAACAUGACGAAUUAUAAUUCCUUGCGAUAUAGUGGGGGUUAUAGAAAAGUCAAGAGUUGCUAGUGGAAGAUAAUAGGGAGAGUACAAUAUAUAUAUUAUGAACAUUCACAUUUAUUUUAAUAAAUUCAUAGCAUUUUUUUUGCUUAAAUAACAGGGUGUAUGUAUAUAUAUAUUGACAUAAAAAUUGCAUGACGUGUGGUUUAGCGUUUCUUGGUUGUUCAGUGCUAGUUUUAUGUCAAUUUUUAUUGACAUAAAAAUUGCAUGACACAAAAAAGGCUGUUUUAACCAACUAAAAACCAAAAGCUAAAACCCAAAACCCCCCUCUUUUUCGUUUUCCAGGGACUUCACCUUGAUAUUCAACCAACACUUCUGAUGUCUGCCCUUCAAUAAACCAAGUCAUUCAUACACAUGAUUCUACUAUUGGUGAUGCCUCUGAUGUUUUUGUGACCCCAAAAUUAUUGGGGAAUAGUCAUGAAUCUGAAUCUGGAGUCCAAUGCAUUCACGCUGGUGGCUCAGCAGCCCAUUUAAAGGCAAUCCAACAGGCAGUGAUCUUGUCGAGGUGCCUUCUAAUAGAAAAGAGCUCAUGGCAAGAUGAAAUGCAAAGUAAGUUGUUUUAUGGUUGGCCGGUGUGUAGUCAUCUCGUUAAAGGCCAUAAGAUGUUUAGCAUAUUGCUAUUUAAUUUUUAAAUCAUUCUCAGUAAUAAUUCCUUUAGUAGAUUGAUGAUAAGAGAUUGCAUUACAGAUGAUAACGGAGCACAAUUUUUGUAGUUGUAUCCCUGUACAUCCAUCUUAAUAUCCUCAUUAUAUUCACAUGCCUUUUACGGGUGUUAUUUCUGGAUGCCGAAUGCUUUGCUCCACGUCUGGAUACCAAAUGCUUUGUUCCACAAAGCUGAGCUGGUUGAAAAGCUAGCUGAUGAGGUCAACACGUCCCUUAAGUAAUUUGAGGAUGAACACUGUGUUCCCGAAAGUCUUACUCUAAUGAUACUUAAAGAAGCAAUGAGAAUGGAUGUUGCAGCAGCUUUGCUGAACUCAACUCCAGUUCCAAAAAUGGAACAUGUGAAAACCGAAAAUGCAUUGUUUUUUUUUUUUUCCUCUUUAUGACUUCUCUAGUUGGGGAAUGUAUUAGAUAUUCACCUAAUCAGUAGGCCUUGAAGGGAUCCCAUGUUAGCCCCUUGAUGUUGGUCUGUAACUAAGUAAAUACUUGACCUUGAAAAAGCUUUUGGAGGCAUCAGUUUCUCUCUGACUGGUGCUACUUUUUGGAUCUGUUGAUUUGGUCAUUUGCUGAUUUAUAGUUUGUUUUCUGAUUCAGGAUGGGAUAUGGCUCCAUACAUAGAGGCAACUGAUUCACAGCAGUCGUCAUGCUUCAUUGUAAAUAUAUAUACAAUACAGCAUCAGUUUUUCUUGAUUUUAAAUCUCAUAUUCUGAAGUGGUACUUCUGAUUCUCACAUGAUUUUUCCAUCUUUCAGCUAAAGUUUUUCUGUGAUCUCUUACGUAUUAGAUGGGAAUCCACCCGCAGUCGCACAAAAGGGCGUGCUUUAGAGAUGAUGGACAAACUGGUAUGAUCUGUGAGCCUUUUCUUCUUAAAUAUUUUGUUACCUAAACCAUUUUCAUUCAAAUUGACAAGUGUUGCUUAUCAAUCUAUAGAAGAUUCCAAACUUUCUGCAGCUAGUACUUUAUUGGACCCAAAAGCUUUUUUGCUUUUUCUAAGCUGCUAAUCAGGACUAGGUUUCUCUCCCUUAUAUCGCUAGAUAUCCCAUUAAUCGUUUGAUUUAGUUGUCUAGAGAGAUUAGGUACUUGCAUCUUCGCUUUUCACUUCACAAGUGAUUUCAUGUGCUAUCCUGUAUUCUGGUUCAAGAUUUUUGAAGGUUGCUUACCAUCAUAUUUUGCUUUGUUUCAGGUUGAGGGCAUUUCUAAUUCUUCUCCCGGUGUGACUCAAAGGAUUCCCUUUUGUUAUGUGAUUUAAGUUCCAACUAUUCCUACCCUGCGAAAGUAAUACUAUUUCUUUUGCUUCUUUGAAUGAUUGUGAUUUAAUUUUCUUGUCAUUUUGCCAACUAUCAUUAUGCUGUCAUUGUUUCAUAUCUUAUUUGACAUAUGUUGAUUUGGUUAGAGUUUAAUUGCUCUGUUUAUUCUCUUUAUAAUCUGUCUAUUUCGAUUUUUCUUGAUUUUAGGGAAUAUGCUGAACUUUUAGUAAGCUGUGGCUUGAUUGGAGAGGCUAUUAAAAUUUUUGAGGAUCUGGAGUUGUGGGAUAAUCUAAUAUACUGCAACUGGUAUGAUGUCAUAGAUAACCAUUAUCCUAAUCUCUCUGUCUGUCUGUCUGUCUCUAUCUCUCUCUUUCGUGUUGCUAAUGGGAGUUGGUUUUUUGUAUGAUGUAAAAAACAGCCUAUUGGGGAAGAAAGCAGCAGCUGUUGAACUAAUAAAAGCAAGGCUGUCUGAAAAGCCUAGUGACCCUAGAUUAUGGUUGGUUAAUGAGCCUUUUCUAUGAUCCAUUUUAUAGUUACUUCUCAUUUCAGUUAAAUCCAUUGUUGAUGUCACUUAUUGCAAUCUAGGGAUAAUUGUUCAUUGGUUGUAAGGAUAUUGUCAGAAGAAAAUGAAACCUUUUAAUUUUGUCUUUUACUUGCUGUAGCCGAUUUAAAAGCUCACUGUGCGUUCUUACUGAUUGCUUUUGGUCUUGCAUUUGAGUCAAUGGAUUUUAUACUCAUAUUCUGACAUUUAUUGUUAGUCUUCUGACGGUUCUGCACCUUGGUCCUAUAUUAUCUUCAGCAGUAUUAUCUAAAAGAUAAGUUUUUGCCGAAGAAAAUUUGCAUUCUAAACUAGAAAAUGAGGGGCCGGGGGGAGGGGGGGGGGGGGGUAGGUUGGGAGGCAACGGGAGACUGUUUUCCACUUAUCCUCUUCCCUGCCUGCAUUUUAGAUGAUUUUGAUGCACCAGGUGCCGUGAAAUGGUUGAGAAAUACAUACCAUCAAGUGAAUUCUGAAAAUCAUUUCCUUUUUGAAAAUAUUUGGUGCUAGACAUUUGAAUAUAUGGCCACAAUUUAAACAAUAAAGAUUUUCUGCAUUGAUUUCUUAUAAUGGAUAGAUGCAUGUAAGUAAAAUAUGAUAUCUUUUGAUUAUUGGCCCAUUUGUUCAGAAAGAAGGAAAAAAAAAAAAAUACAUGGUUGAAAGACAACUGUUACUUGACCUUAUGAUACAUUUUGUAGGUGUUCAUUAGGUGAUGUUACAAAUAAUGAUGCCUGCUAUGAAAAAGCUUUGGAAGUUUCGAAUGAUAAGUCAGCUCGAGCUACGGUGAUAUUGUAGUUCACAUUAUGCUUGUGCCGUGAUCAUUUUUUAGUUAACAUAUCUUUAUGUGAAUCAGAGGUCUCUAGCUCGUAGUGCAUACAACAGAGGGGAGUACGAGACAUCUAAAAUCCUUUGGUAUGUUGCUUUAAUGCUUUACUUCUCUUUCUGCCACACAGUAAUUUGCUGCAUUGACAACUGAUACGGCUGAAUGACAAUUUACCCUUGGUUUUGUCUCGGGGAGGCUGCCAUGGCCUUGAAUUCUUUGUAUCCGGAUGGCUGGUUUGCUCUUGGUGCUGCUGCAUUGAAGGUAUCAUAUUUUUGUAUUAGUAUGUGUUUAGUGUGAAGCAAUUUCUUAUCCUUUUGCCCCAAGUUUCUGAAACUCUCGGCUGAAAUAUAAAUACAGGCUCGGGAUGUUGAAAAGGCUCUGGAUGGGUUUACUCGGGCUGUUCAACUUGAUCCAGACAAUGGGGAAGCUUGGAACAAUAUUGCUUGCUUGUAUGCUCUUUUCUUUGUCAUCAUGUCAUUCCAUCCUCUUGCUCUGUAUUCUUUAAUAUUGUGUCAAUCACAUUCAUCUUCUAUCUGCAAGAGUAUGCUUCCCAUAUUUGGUUUACUUUGUUUUGACUUUCUUGUUGCAGUUGUUCUAUAUAAAUUUUAUAUGGUUCCAUAUUCCCUUGAUGAGUGAAUUUAGUUGCUGCAAAUGUUAAGAACUAGAUAGUACUGUUAUAAUUAGGAAUAGGGCAAAUAUUAGCCAGCUCUUUUGAGGAUUAUCCAUAGCAUAUACCUCCGUCGUUUUCAAAGCGAUUGAAGUUCUCCCUUUUGUCUUAUUUAAAAGAAAAAAGCACAAAUUGCUUCCCUCACAUCUAUCUACAGUCUCUUUUCUCUCUGUUUAAUUUUUUCUUGUGCUUAUUAUUUGUCUUUUAAUGCAUCUUUUCUUCUUAUUUUAUACUGUACUAGAAUUUGUGCUGUCUCGAUUUUAUCUUGCAUGUGAGUUACUGUGUUUUUCGCAAUUGUAGAACUUUAUUUAGCAGCAUAAUUAUUAGUUAGUGAGACAUUAAUUGGUUAAUACCACUUGUGAAGAUACGAAGAGCUACUUAUUCUCUCUUCUAGUACAUUUAAAAAAUUCAUGACAAAAUAUCUGGGAUGGUAAAAUUCUCGUCAAUUAUAACUACGGAAGUCUUGAGAUUUAUGUAGUCUUGCAGGCAUAUGAUCAAGAAGAAGAGCAAAGAGGCUUUUACAGCAUUCAAGGAGUCCCUAAAGUUGAAGUUCUGUCUUUUUUCCCCCUGAUCACUACAUUUUUAUUUUCUGUCAUGCACAAUGCAGUCGGACACUAUCUGAUCACAAGAAAACUGUCAUACAUAAUUUGUUGCUGCUAGGCAAAAGGUGAUAUCUAAUGUAAUAACCUAUAACAUGAUUUUGUAACAGACGGAACAGUUGGCAAUUGUGGGAAAACUACAGCCAUGUUGCUUUGGAUGUGGACAAUAUUGGUCAGGUAACCGCGGUUGUGCGCUUAAUGUCCAUCAUUUAUCACUGAAAUCUUUUGAGAUGAAGCUGGCAUUUCCUUAGCCACCCUCUGAUGGUUUUGAUUGCUUCAUGUAUGUUGUCAUCUUUGUCAACUAAUGAAAGCUGCAGAGAUUUUGUCAUCUUUUCAUUUAAAAGAAUUUGAUAGUUUAUAGCCCAUUGUCAUGUUUGCAUAUGUAUGUUAUUGUUCUUUUGACCUUUUUGUACCUCAGCUUCAUCCUUUUAUGCAAGCAAUUCUUUGUCAAGAAAUAUCUGGUUAACAAUUUCUUCGCAUGAAUAUUUUUACGGUCAUCAAGGUCCUUGAACAGUCAUGGUUAAUUGAUUACAGAUUCUCAAAUUUAUAAUUAUUUUUUUCAGGGUCAUUGUCCUUUGAUAUAUGCAAUUGAUGCAUGACUUUCUAACCAUUAUCUCCCUGCCUUCACCAUGGUCGUAUAAAUAUUUUGACAAGUGGGGAUUUUAUGAUUACUGUGUGCUAGGAAUUUUUUUGGUUGGAAAGAAAUGGGAGGAUUUUUCAAGAAGCUAGGGAGGGAAGACACCAAAUUUUUUUUGGUGGAUAAAGCCUGCUGUCACUUUGGGCAUCAAUUUCUAAUGAAUGCAAUAAUGUUCCUUUCUUUGCUAUUCAUUAAAAUUGAGUUGUUCUUCUUGGAUGGCCUUCUUUUUACUUCCCAUCAUUUUGCCAGCUUGUUGAUUGUCAUUUUUGCUUGUUGGCAGUCUUUUCCUGCAGUGUUGAUAAUAUUUAAUUAUAAUAUUAGACAACAGUGUCCUCAACAUGAUCUCUCUCCCAAAUUAUUACUCUUUUAUUCAUUAUACUUUUAGCAGUUUCUUUAUUUUUGUUAUAUUUUAUGUUUUCAGGCUCUAGAGGCUGUGCAGAUGGUGUUGAACAUGACUAAUAAUAAACGAAUUGAUACUGUAUUAUUAGAAAGAAUAGUGCUAGAUAUGGAAGGAAGGACUUCAAUUAUAGAAUCUGAGUCUUGCAGGACUACCCAUAAUCUUAACAGAACUAAUAACACUUGUGCAAAAGAUUAACCUGUAGAAUCUGUCCAUGUAUCAUCACCUGAGGAGUCAAUCAUGGGAAGAUCGCGAGAAAAUGAGCACUUGAUGGAGUUUCUUGGGAAAAUUCUUCAGCAGGUUGCACAUGGCUCCAUGAUCAUCUUUUUUCUGUCUUUUAAUACUGAGCCAAGGGACAGUCUCUCUCUUUCACGCAUAUCCACAACACAUGUACAUAUUUCUCAUAUUUCUAUGCGUAUAUAUUGUCAUUUCUGAUCUUUCUUAGUUUAUAUGAUAAUUGUCUUUGGGCAUAUGAUUCAUAUUUUCUGGGCACCCUAUGGUCUGUGGGUCAAUAAUAAUCCAUAGUAUCUGAAUUUCUAGACAAAAUUGGUCAUUUUAGCAAAUCAUUUGGAUGUAUCUAUGCAGCAGUUUACUAUUUUAGUGCUUGCAGGAAUUGGUAUGCUUAAAUUUUGGGCUUAAAUUGUGUGAAAAUAAUCAAAGUGAUAUGCAAAUUAAUUCAAGCCACAUGAGGAAAGAAUAUCCUUUUUUUUUUUUUUCAGCUUAUGUUACAUGUUUCUGUGUAUGGCAUAGGUAGUUCGAAGUGAGAGUAGUGCAGAUAUGUGGGGAUUAUAUGCAAGGUGGCUUAAAAAUAAAGGAGAUCUUACAAUGUGCUCUGAAGCCCUCUUAAAGCAAGUCAGAUCAUAUCAGGUUUCUCCAUAAACCUCAUCAUCUUAUAAUAAGUUAGCAUUAUGUUUUACUUUGAUGUUGAUGGAAUUUGUUAAUGCUAAUAAAAUUUUGUUAAUCUCUCUCUCUCUUUCUUUUUUAAAGAAGGCAAAGAAAAAGCUUUGUGAUUUCAUUUUUGUUUUCUAAAUUUGUUAUCUAAAGGAAUGACAAGUUUACAAUUCAGCCUCUGUGUGUGUGUGUGUGUGUGUGUGUGUGUGUGUGUGUGUCUGUGUCAGGGAUCUGAUUUGUGGAAAGAUAGAGAUCGGUUUAAAAGGUUUUCAUAUGCAUCCUUGGAACUUUGUAAGGUUUACAUGGAAAUUUCUUCCUCUUCUGGUAGCCGUCGAGAACUCUUUACUGCUGAGAUGCACCUGAAGAACGUACUUAAACAAGUAAAACACCUUAUAAUUCGAUAUUUAAGACACUUACAGUUGGUUUAAAGAUUGCAUUUUCCAUUUCUUUUUUUGACUGGUUCAGGGUAAAACUUUUUCUCACUGUGUUAGAGUGCAUUUCUGUUAUUAUAUAGUUUCUUAGAAGAAAAUGCACUUUUUGGAAUCUCAGGCUGAAGGAUUUUCUGACAUGGAAGAGUUCAGGGAUCUUCACGCUUGCCUUGAUGAACUGAAGACAAAACUCCAAUCUGGUCCCGUGGCUACCUAAGUAUCAGGAAUGUGCUAUUUUUGAAAUUUAGUAACAAGGUUAAAUCUGCAACAAAAAAUUAUUUUAGUUCGUACUGUAGUGGAGACCUUAAGCAUGACUGAGUAUCUUGUAUUGUUGUAUCACCUUUUCUGUAACAAAACAGUCUAGUUUUAUUAUUUUUGUAUUUUCGGUGCUGUAACUAAUCUCAUUUGCCAAUGUAAAUAUAUGGCUUCAAGUUCUUUAAAUGUAACAUCAAAUGUUGUUUUCAACCUCUGUUCUUUUAUGUAUUGCUUACAUGCCGUGAUUUCAUUAACCUCAAUUUAAGAAAAAUUUCAUAUCAUUUUUUUCUGCUUUUCUUUUAUCAUUUAAAAACAACACACACACACAUAUAAGCAAAGAAGCAACUGAAAGUUAUCUUCAUGUGAGAAUGAAAACUUUUCAGCAGCAUAACCCUUUCACUGUUCAAUUCCAAACAUGUUCCUCAACAUGAUAACAAAUUCGCAGACCUUUUCUGGGUCUGGAAGGAUCCUCGCAACAGUUUCUCUUUGCAUGCACUCAUUCUCAACCUUAAAUCCCCCAAAUUUCUCAACCGCGUAAAACCAACAAGUCAGUGGAAUGGCAAUGACAUCAACGAAUCCAAAGCUAUCCCCGCCAAAGAAAUCCUUCUCCCCUAAAGCUCCCACAAGUUGCUUCAAUAUCUCUAUAAAUUCAUUCUUCGCCGUCCCUGGGACCUUGCCCUUGCUUUUCCAUAUGUUGCAUACUGCAUCGAUUACCUGCCAAAAGAGUGGUGUCAUCUUUGCAUUUAGAAAGAUACAAACAUUUACACUUGAGAAUUAUAGACUGACCUUCUUGUCAAUAAAAUCUGCCCAGAACCUUGCCUUAGCUCUCUCAGAAGCACAGGAUGGGAGAAGUGGUGGCGAAGGCCAAGUCUCGUCAAUGUAGUUAACUAUAACGGUGGAUUCACACAAUGGUUUCCCAUCGUGUAGCAAAACUGGGACUUUCUUGUAGAUGGGGUUUGAUUUGAGCAGCAGGUCACUCUUUGCCCCCAAACAAGUUCUCAGCUCUGGCUCAUAUUCAACUCCUUUCUCAGCCAAUGCAAUCUUUGCCCAACAGUCCAAAAGAACAACCUCUCCCUUUGACAAAUUCACUUUCUUUGUUCUUGUUUCUUUUAGUUGGCUGAUAGUAAUUAAACCUUGAGUAUCAAGGUUAAUUGGCAUUUAUAAAGGAGAAAAGAUGAAAUUCCCAAAGUUUGUGUCGCAAUCAACUUUUGUUCGUUGGCACUUCCUUAAAGGAUGUGUUUGAGGGAAAUACUCCGACGAGACCAGACGUGAUGAGCAGAUGUUUAGUGGCAGAAUUCUGCGAGCAGGUAUGUCCUGUAAGAGCCAGGUAGCAGGGGAACAGGGGCAGGAAUAUCCUGCUCAUCCACGAGCACGUCAUCUGCGAGGCCAAUUUCCUGUAAGAGGCAUAAAGCCAUUCCUGCUGUAUUCUCGCUGAGGGUUGAUUCGAGGAGACCCGGUCAACGACAGUUGGCGAGGCAUGCUCUCCAGCCCGAGAAUCUAGGCACGAAGGCCACGCAACCACCCAUGACUACGGAAAUGGGGAAUCCACGUUCGAGAGGUGGGAGGAUAACGGGCGUAGACUGCGGAAAACUGGGAUUCAGAGGAAGCCUAUAAAAAGGUAGCCAACGAAGGUAAAAGGGUUAGCAUUUUUGAGAUUAGAAGAGAGCUAAAGAAAUUCUAAAGAAGAGCAAACUACGAAAAAGCCAUAAGAUUUGUGGCAAACAUUCCCAGAACCCCUAUAUCUGACUUGAGCGUCGGAGGGUUUGCGCCGGGAAAACAACCGGCGUACUCUGACUUGUCUGUGUGCGCAGGAACCUCUGGAGAAGAAGCCUUACGAGGAGACCUCCUGGUCGUGGUGAAGUUGAUCGAGCAGAGAGCCUGGUCGUAGAACGAGGAGAACCAGAAUCUCGCAUCAAUAGGAUGUGGCAUUGUUCUUAUCAUUUCUUAGUUUUUGAAGCUUACUGUUUUACUUGGCUUUCAACAUGCACAAGAACAAGUUUGUCUUGUGCAUGCGGAGUUUACUAUGGACAAGCCGAAUCGUAAGUAACCAUUUACACUAAUCAAUCGGUAUUGUCCAGUGAAAAUAAGUAAUGUAAAAAGUGUCUAGGAUUUUUCCUAAUAUUUCUCAAAAUAGGCUCAUUAAGCCCAAUUCUGGUGCUAGAUUGGUUCAACUUUGAAUCAAACUUGGAAACAUUUUUCUUUAGAUUAUUAUUAUUAAUUUAGAAGAGUCAAAAAGCUAAGAGUAUCGUUAGUAAAUGUCAAACAUGUGUAAUAUCACAUAUCACUAGUCAGUGAGUUUCGUAAACUUUCCUAAUUAAGAAGACACGUUUUGAGUUGUAAAUUCUAACACAAUAUCUAUUCAGUUGUUUAACUUGGAAUAUUACAAUUAUAUCAAUAUUGUUUGAUGUGGGCACACAACCUUGCGUCUUCUUAGUUAGGACAGCCAAUUAAAUCCACUUCUUAGCGAUGCAGGGGAUGAUACAUAACUUGUAUGUGCACGUUGGCGGAGUAUCCCAAUUAUGCACUCAUUUGUCUUCUUGUGUUUUAAAAAAUCUAUUGUACUGGAUAUACUGUAAAUUUAUCAAAUUGCUUGUUAUAAUGCUUCUAUUUGCGUUGUUAUUCGAGUUGUCAUUUUGAGUUUUAUUUUAUUUUUUCUUUAAACAUAAUUAAUUUGAAAUGUUCUUUAAUUUUCAUUACACUUGAGAUCAUCAAAUAAGUGAUUCGUGAACAUAAUUGCUGUUGUUACUCGAAUAAGAAAAGAAAACAACGAUUUGCUAAGGUAAAAGUAAAUGGAAAUGAGAGCACGUGAUUUUGCAAAGAGAACUUCACACUAUCAUAAAACCGAAAACAUUACAAUUUAAAGCUUAAAUAACAACACACCAAAGCCAAAUAACGACCCACUAGAAUCACGGUCCAAAGAUUGUGCCAUGAUCACAACAUGAACUACAAAAAAAUAACCAACACCAGAAAAGUAGGAACAGUUUAAAACUUUCAUUUAAGCAGCAUUUAUGAUUCCACAUCAGCAGUCCUAAACACAUCUUCUAACAAUUGCAACUGUUCAUUUUUGCUUCUGCCAAUAAGGAGUUGAUAGUAACCAAAGAUUGUUGUCUUUAUUGUCAUUUGAGAGUAACCAAUUACUUACGCAGUCACGUAAGUUGCUGGUAGGCCUCGCACAUUUUUGACAAGUUUGUUUCUGAAGGAAAGCAGCUGAGCCGCAACCUCUUCCUUGUUCAUUCGUUCUCUCGGCAACUCUGAAGAGCAAAUGACUCCGAUUUCCAGUACUGAAACCAAGCACUCUUUACCACCAAAACUUCUAGUCCUUUGUUUGUGAGCAUUGGCCUCGCUUGUCUCCCCUUCUUCUCUUUCUACAAGAAGCACUGGAUUAACAAUUUCAGCGAGUCUUUCAGGAAGAGCUUCCUUGACAAAAUUAUGUAGGGUUAGAUUGCCUGUAAACAUCUCAUUCGUCGGCCCCUUUCCUGUAAACAUUUCCAGCAAAAGAAUGCCAAAACUGUACACAUCUCCACUUGUUGAGACUUCGCUCCCCAUUCCGUACUCUGCAAUUCGAAAAUUAAAAUUGUUGGUUCAACUAGUAAAAUCUCCGAGGAUUGAAAAACAAGUUGAUUAAAUUAGAGUAUUUACCUGGAGCAGCAUAACCAACAGUUCCUUUUACUCCAACAGAGCUUGAUUGAUUAGAUGACAAGUUAUUGGCGGCUUCCGGAAGGAAUUUUGCUAAUCCAAAAUCACUUACAUGGGCAGUCAAUUCACCAUCCAGAAGAACAUUGCUUGGCUUGAGAUCACAAUGGACUAUUGGAGUUUCACAAUAAUGAUGAAGAUAUUCCAAUGCGGAAGCAACAUCAACGGCAAUACUCAGUCUUUGCAGGAGAUUUAGAUUCCUAGGUGCGUCACGGUUUGGAUGCAACCAUUCCUCCAGGCUCCCGUUAACCAUCAACUCAUAAACUAAAGCCUCAAAAUCAUUCCCUUGGAAGUCAACACUUACACAGGAAGUUAUUAUUUUGACGAGAUUCCGAUGCCUAAUACUCCUCAAGGCUUGACACUACGCUAUGAAACUCUUUGAAGCUCCACGAUGUUGAAGAUUAAGCACCCUAACUGCCACCAGCGUUUCAUGAUCAUCGUGAUCCAGGAUUCCUUUAUAGACCGAACCAAAGCUACCGGCACCAAUCAAAUUUUCCAAAGAGAACCCAUCAGUUGCUUUGAACAGAUUCUGAUAGGACACUCGUAAAACCGAAGCCAAUAAUGUUGAUGGAGGAGUGGACGGCUCCCUUUUUGUUUUGCUCCACCAGGAAGUAAUUAUCAAACACGACAUCCCUGUCAGGAACAAAAUUCCUGUAACUAUAGGAAUAAUCAGUUUCAGGGAACGGGAACGUGAUUGCUUUGAUUCUUUGGUGGAGCAAGUACAUAAAUGCAACUCAGAUAUGCCACCACAAAGGUUAUCAUUUCCGUCAAGAGAUAUAGCACUCGAAUUGCUGAAGACUCCUUUUAUUGGUACUUCACCCUCAAAAUGAUUAAAAGACAGAUUUAAAUUCUGCAAAAAGAAAAAGUUUUCCAGAUAUUUUGGAAUCCGGCCAGACAAAUUGUUCCGCGAAAGAUCAAGAUUCUCAAUGCCUCUCAAAGAACUGAAUGAUGAAGGGAUAUUCCCCUGAAAGAAAUUACCGUUCAUGACGAGUUGUUCCAACCUAAUGCAACUUCCUAUACUGCUUGGAAUUUGACCAGACAAUUUGUUCUCCGAUAUAUCUAUAGCACCCAGAUUUUUCAAGAUACCAAAAUUUGAGGGCAAAGGACCAUUCAAUUGGUUUUGAGAUAGAUCGAGAUAGAUUGACAAGGAAGAGAGACCGAUCACUUCAGUGGGUAUGGUACCAGUGAGGUUGUUAUUAGAGAGAUCUAAUAAUAUCAAGUUUUGGCAUUUCCCUAGACUUGAUGGAAUGCUUCCCUCUAACAUGUUUUCCGCAAAAUUUAGUGUGAUUAACAAUGUCAAAUUUCCUAUAGAAGAUGAAAUUUCCCCCCAAAACUUGUUCCCCUCCAACCUCAACGUCUGAAGCUUUUGAAGAUCUCCUAUACUUCCCGGAAUUCGGCCUGUGAAUUGGUUUUCCUCAAGAUAUAAAAGCUCCAAGUUAACAAGGUUUCUUAAUCCACUUGGGAUAUUUCCGAACAAUUGAUUGUUUUCAGCUGAUAACAUUCUAAGUCGGGUUGACAAGUUCCCCACAGUUUCAGGUAACAUUCCACCAAAAUUGUUAUCACUAAUUAACAGUAGCUCUAGUCUAGAAGCGUUGACCAAAGAAUUGAAAAAUUCCAAGUCAUCUUUUUCCCCAUUUCCUAAGUGAUUCACAGAAAUACUAACCACUUCGAGUUUAUGUAAAUUUUCCAAACUAGGCACCUUUCCACUGAAUCCAUUCAUCGCGAUUAUAAGUUGCAUUAGAUUUGAGGCAUUGGAUAUUGAAGCAGGAAUAGGCCCGGUAAACUGAUUAUCACCAACGUUUAGAUAUUCAAGAUUAGGAAGAGUGAAGCCUAAGUCUGAUGGAAGGCUUCCUUGAAGUUGGUUGACAGUAAAAUCAAAAUCACUAAGCGAAGACAAGUUGUAGAUUGAGAAGGGGAUUUCACCUGAUAGCUUAUUUGAAUCAAAUGAUAUAAAACGCAUCCUCUUAAGCUCGCCCAGGGUUUCAGGAAUUUGUCCUACAAAUUGAUUUAUAGUUGCUGAGAGGACCUGGAGUGAUGAUAAAUUGCCGAAGGAUGAUGGGAUUUCUCCUGACAAAUUGUUGGAGUGUAUUACGAGAAUCCGGAGCUUUGAUAAGGAGCCCAGUUUCCCUGGAACUUUCCCCGCAAGCUCAUUACUGCCUAACCAGAGGGAUUCAAGGUUAACGCAAUGCGAUAUGUUGUCAGGAAUUUGACCUCCAAAUGUAUUGUUGUCCAGCCAUAAAAAUCGUAACCUGAACAGAUAUCCAAUCUCUUGAGGGAUUUCGUUGCGGAAAAUUAGAAUUAGAUAUAUUGAUUUGGAAUGUUUGUUUACAGAGAAAAUCUGAGCAAGAGAGAAAGAAAAUUUAUUCUUGUUAUUAUUAACAAAAUGGGAUCACCAGCUUAUAUAUGUUGCUUGCUGGAAUCUCUUUUACGCACUCAUCACUUUCACGUGUAUUUCACCUUUUUAGAGAAGCUAAAUAACAAACUAAACAGACUAACGACUACUUUGCUGACUGGACUGCCACGUCACCAUAACUGAAUUAACUAAACUAAUGCUGUUAACACAUAUUCUUAUCAUCCCCCCUCAAGCUUAAGUUCGGGGAAGAACAUUAAGCUUGGUACGAAGAUAAGCAAACUGAUCAAAGAAGAGGGGCUUGGUGAGAAUGUCUGCAAGUUGUUCUGAACUAGAAACAUGACUGAUAGUCAGUUGCUUCUGUGCAAUGUGCUCUCGAAUAAAAUGAAGAUCCAACUCAAUAUGUUUUGUACGAGAGUGAUACUUGGGGUUGCUAACUAGUGCCUCAGCACUCUGAUUAUCACAAUACAAAACUGGACUGUGAGUAGGCUGAAUAUGCAGCUCUUGAAGUAAAUAAGUCAGCCAAAGAAUUUCAGAGGUUGCUGAAGCAAGAGCCCGAUAUUCGGAUUCUGCUGAGGAAUGAGAAACAAUUGUCUGUUUCUUAGAAGACCAGGAAAUAAUGUUGUUGCCUAAGAAGGCACAAUACCCUCCAGUAGACUUUCGAUCAUCUGGAUCAGCUGCCCAAUCAGCAUCAGAAAAUGCUGUUAAAGUCACUGAUCCUGAAUUCCAAAGUGUGAAGUAGCUUGUAGAUAUCGAAGAACCCUUUUGCAAGCUUGCCAGUGUGCAAUAGUUGGAUGAGCUAGGAACUGACUGAGUUUGUUUACAGGGUAAGCUAUGUCAGGUCUGGUAAGCAACACAUAUUGAAGAGAGCCUACAAUGCUUCGAUACAAGGAGGGAUUAUCAAAGGCUGUACCACUGUCCUUUGUAAGCUUAGCACCUGGACUCAUAGGAGUGUUAAAACCUUUGCUGUCAAGCAUAUUUGCUUUGCUAAGGAUAUCACCAAUGUAUUUGGUUUGAGAUAAAUGCAGUCCCUGAACAGAGGGUGUCACUUCAAUACCAAGGAAGUAGUUAAACUCGCCCAGAUCUUUGAGUGCAAAUUCUGAAUGAAGAUAUUGAAUAACAGCCUCAAGAUGUUGAGAAUUAGAACCAGUAACCAAAAUGUCAUCAACAUAUAUAAGAAGGAGCACAAUAUCAUUGCCAAUAUGUUGAAUAAACAUAGAAGUAUCAGAUUUGGAAGAAUGAAAACCUUUAUUGAGUAAGGAACCCUUCAGCCUCUCAUACCAAGCCCGAGGAGCUUGUUUGAGACCAUAUAAGGCCUUGUUUAAUUUGCAAACAUAAGAUGGAUGUGCAGAGUCUAUAAAACCUUGUGGCUGAUGCAUGAACACAUCUUCUUCAAGCAUGCCAUUUAGAAACGCAUUAUUAACAUCCAGCUGUCUAAUUUGCCAAUGAUGCAUCACUGCGAGGCUGAGUACAACUCUGACUGUGCAAGGUUUCACAACUGGGCUGAAGGUCUCAAAGAAGUCCACUCCUUGAGUUUGAUGGUAACCCUUGGCAACCAACCUAGCUUUAUACUUGGAAAUGCUGCCAUCAGGAUUAUACUUCACCCUAUAGACCCACUUAUUGCCAACUAUUUUAGCAGCACUGUCAGAGGGUACUAGAGUCCAGGUUUGGUUCCUUUGUAGAGCAUCAAAUUCCUCCUUCAUAGCAUGAAACCACUUAGGAUCAUGCAAGGCACUUUUUACACUGGCUGGCACAAGAUUUUCAGUAGCUGCCAGAUAUGAUUUGGGUUUGAAAACACCAGCUUUAGCUCUAGUAAUCAUUUGGUGAGAUGGUAAAGAAGAUGAGUGAGGUGGUUCAGCUGAAGAAUGAAAGGAAGGAGAAGGCUGUGCUGAACUGGAACUUGAUGGAGAAGACAUUGCUGGCUGAGGAUUAGGAGAUGAUGACUCUACAGUGCUACUGUCAACCUGAGCAGAACUUUGAAGAAAGGAAAAUUGUACUGGUGAAGAUGAGACAUCAACAGUGGAGACUGAUGAAAUAGAGUGUUUCAAAAACAAUUCUUUGUAAGGAAACUCAGUUUCAUUAAAAACAACAUGUCGAGCAACAAACACUUUACCAGAGGAAUUUAAACAUUUAUAACCCUUGUGAAGGGGACUGUAACCAAUGAAAAUGCAUUUUUGAGUGUGAAAGUCAAGUUUAUGCUGGUUAUAAGGUCUAAGGAAUGGAAAACAGGAGCAACCAAAAACUCUGGGAAACUGGUAGUCAGGUAGUUGAUUAUGUAACUUCUGAAAUGGAGAUAGAUUGUUUAGAACUGAGGUGGGCAUCCUGUUAAUGAGGAAAGAGGCAGUGUGAAAGGCUUCCCACCAAAAGGAAAGAGGCAAUUGGGAUUGAGCUAGAAGUGUUAAACCUGUUUCAACUAUGUGCCUGUGUUUCCUCUCAACAACACCAUUUUGAUGGUGUGUGUAUGGACAGUUAUACCUAAAGCAUAUACCCUCUUGCUGAAGAAAGGUUUUAAAGGCUAUGAAUUCACCACCCAUAUCUGACUAUAGUGUUUUGAUAGACAAGGAAAACUGUUUUUCAACAAGAAGUUUGAAGUGUUUGAAGGUUUCUAAUGCUUCUGAUUUUGUUGUGAGAGGAAAGAUCCAAGAAUAUCGUGUGAAAUCAUCCACAAAGGAGAUAUAAUAUCUGUAUCCAUUCAUAGAAUAUUCAGGAGCUGGUCCCCAUAAGUCUGUAUAUAGAAGCUCAAGUGGUGCUUUUGUUUUAAUGGUAGUAACAGAAAAAUGAAGCUGAUGCAUUUUGCCAUAUUGACAGGCAUCACAAAAACUAAUGAAUUGAUUUGAAAAACAAUGCGUAGAAAGACUCUUAAUAAUUGUUUGCAAAGCAUGUUUAUUAGGAUGACCAUAUCGAUUAUGAAGUAACUGAACUGACAUCUUUCCAGUCUAGAAGAAUUUCCAGAAACAGAAUAUGCAAAAGAUUCAGUAGUAUUUACAUUGUGCAACUUUGACACAUGAUUAUUUGACUCUGGUAGAGAGUUUACAACUUUAUUAUCAACACACAAAGACAGCAUGGAACUUGGUUUAAAAGAAUUUGGAUUGCAAUCUGCAGAAUGGGGAGAGAACACAUCAAGUGACAGUAGCUUGUAAAGACCAUCUUCAACAAUCCCCUGUGCCAGCAAAAUUCCCUUCUUCUUGUCCUUAAUAAAACACAUGGUAGAAUAAAAUUCAAUGAUUAUGUUGUUAUCCAAAAGAAGUUUAGAUAUACUGAUGAGAUUUUUGGUUAUUUUGGGAACACACAAAGUAUUGGUUAAGGAUAAACAGGUGCCAAAAGAAGUAGAAAGAUAAGUGCAGCCAAUAUGUGUGAUAGUGAGACCUUGACCAUUACCAACAAACAACAAUUGAGUGCCAUUAUAAGGGUUACCUUCAACCAAAUUUUGCACAUUGUUGGUGAGAUGAUGAGUGGCUCCACUGUCCAGAUACCACCCCUGAUCAGCAACUCCUUCUGAAGUAGCCAUAUAAGCUGUUCUUGGCCCUUGAUUUGGCAUUGGAGAAUUUGGAAUAAAGUUUCUGUUAAAUCUGUUUCUGCAUCUGCAGCUGAGUGGUUUGGUUUGAAACAUAUUUGGCAGGUGAUAUUUCCUCUGCCACCUCCUCUACCAAAACCACCAGAGGAUGCUGGAUUUCUACCAUUAAAGCCACCAUUUCCAAUAAAUCCACCAGUAUUACCAUUAAAUCCACCAGAGUUUGAGCCUCUACCUUGAUUUCCAAACCAGCCUCUCCCUGAAUUUUGAUCCAUGAAGCCACCUCUGCCAGAUCCAUAACCUCCUUUGUUGUUGAAAUUACCAUUUCUAUUUCUAUUUACAAAAUUUCCAUUCCAAUUGCCCUGAUUAUUAUUAUUCCAAUUAGCAUUGUUUCCUGACUUCUUUUGAUUAUUGCCAGUAUUAGCCACAUUAGCACUAAAAUUCAACUUAGUUUCCUUAGCUACACCAGAAUGAUUACUCUCAAGCCUAGCUUCAUGAGAUAGCAGCAUAGAAUAAGCCUCAUUGAUACUUAUUUUAAGAGCAUUUGCUUCAAUAUAAACCACAACAGGGUAAUAAGACUGUCCUAGACCUGAGAUCAAAUGUGUAAUGAAGUCAAGAGAAGAAACUGAACUUCCAGCCAUUGCUAAUUCAUCAGUUACUGACCUCAGUUUACAAAAAUAUUCAGUAAUGGACAUGGAUCCUUUCUUAAGAUUGUUUAACAACAUCUUUAAAUGCACUUUCUUUGCUGCUGUUUCAAAUCCAAAUUGUUCCUCUAGACUUAUCCAAAGCUCUCGAGAGGUUUUAGAAUUUACCACAAUGCUUAAGAUCUCCACAGUGAUUGAAGACAGAAGCCAGCUCAAGAUCAUCUGAUCUUGCCUUUUCCAAGUGAUGCAAGCAGGAUUCUCUGAGACAACCACUGCAUCUGUGCUUGUUGAUUCUCCAGUCAGCAGCUGGUUUGGACAGGUACGUGAUCCAUCAAGAAAACCUUCCAGAUCAUUUGCUCGAAUGGCUGAAAGGAUCUGAGAUUUCCAUAUGGUGUAAUUCGAUCUGUCAAGCUUGAUUGGUGUGGUGAAAGUAAAUGUUGAGAUUGCGGAAGAGACAUUUGUACUAAGACUUGAAGAGGCCAUGAUCAUGAAGUGAUUCAAGGCUCUGAUACCAAAUUAGAAUUAGAUCUAUUGAUUUGGAAUGUUUGUUUACAGAGAAAAUCUGAGCAAGAGAGAAAGAAAAUUUAUUCUUGUUAUUAUUAACAGAAUGGGAUCACCAGCUUAUAUAUGUUGCUUGCUGGAAUCUCUUUUACACACUCAUCACUUUCACGUGUAUUUCACCUUUUUAGAGAAGCUAAAUAACAAACUAAACAAACUAACGACUACUUUGCUGACUGGACUGCCACGUCACCAUAACUGAAUUAACUAAACUAAUGCUGUUAACACAUAUUCUUAUCACGGAAGCUAUUGUUUUUGAGAUCUAACACUCUGAGAAAACUUAAAUUACCAAUGUGAGGCGACAGAGACCCCUGCAAGAGUAAAGAUGGAAGAAGUAAUGCAGUCACCCUUUGGUGCCGUCGACUGCAAGUGACACCUUUCCAUUGACAAAAGUGCCUGGAAUAGUUCCAUGAACUCAAAACCUCAAGAGGGUCAUGAGUAACUUUGGCCUUGAAUUCAAGCAAUGCAAGUUGAUCAGUUUCAUUUCUUUUGAGCAUAUAAUCGGUUGACUGCAAGCUGAAGCUGAAGCAACAGAAAAUAAAGAAACAAAUGCUUGCAAUGAUUGAACUCGUCAUGUUUACAAAAUCCAUUUAACUGCCGAAAGGAAAUUAAAAUGAUAAAACUUUUAUAGAGGUCGGUAAGAUAAACUAUGUUUGUAUAUUUUUUGCAAUGAUUUAUGGACUCUGUCUUUGAUGCUCAAAUGUGAACCGGCUGGCACCGUGACAGUGAAACUAAAACUUUUUGUUUUUCUAAUAAUAUUAAUUAUCAUAUUUAUUACUAUUGUUAGAAUAAUAUAUUGCAGCUUUAAAGAAAGACUCACCAUACUCCUUUUUGAGUCUCUGUCAGUUUCCAGCAUUUGGUCAUUUUUUAUUUCACCGCUUAAUCCACAGUAAAAUAUAAAACAAUUUAAUCAACAAUAUUGAAAAGAAAAAAAGUAGGACAAGAGAAAGGUAAAUACUGUUAAAUGAGUUGGGAAACGUUCAAAGCACGAAGGGAAUUAGAAAAGAAAAAAAGUAGGAUAAGAAAGUUAAGUAUGAUGGAUGGAGUUUCACAUUACUGUUAAAUGACUUGGGAAAGGUUUAAAGCACGACAGGAAUCAACGUUUCACAACGCUUUUUAGAUUUUUUUCUAAAAGGAAAAAGAUAUUCUCACAAAAGUAAGUACAAAAUUUCACACAAAACGGUGCAUUUAAAUAAAGUAAAAUUGCAAAAAUACUCAAAAUAUAUAAGAUUGAUUAUUUACACCCUCUUUGUUUAUCUUGGGUGAACUAUUUCUGGAAAAUGGGCAGAGCCUAGUUUGGUUCAAAAUUUGAAAUAACAAAAGGUAUAUUGGUGGAAAACCAGCGACAUAUUUUCUAAUGGUUAACCUAAAUGGGAAUUAUAUCGGUUUGUACUGUCAAUAUAACAAACAACUAACUAAAUUAUUUAGAAGUCAUGAAUAAAAAUGGAUAGAACAAGAAGUAUAUUGCUAUUCGAUGCAAGAAGUUGGAUUAUUAAACCAUAAUAAAAUAAUAUAACUACACAUGUGCAAUAUUAUUCACUAGAAAGAUUUAAUUUAGAUAUUAAACAGUUAGUGCAACUGUAUCGAUCUCAUGCUCAUUAAUUUAGAGUUUGAGAACUCAUAAUAAAAGAAAAUAGAAAUUUAAACAUAGAUCCUAUCCUAUUAAGUAGAAUCAGAAAAGAAGUUUACAGAAAUAAUUUUUCAUGGAAAUAAUGAAAUAUUAAUCCUGUUGAUGGAUAUAUUGGUGAAUACAUAAUAGAACAUUAUAAUAGAUUUUUAUCUAUCAAGCAAAGGGAAGAAUAUAAUUGGAAUAACAAAAGAAUUAGAAGUAAAUAGUAAUAUGCUAAUAGGAUAUAGAGGAUUAAUAUUAAUUAUCAUAUUUGUGUGUGUAUGUAUAUAUAUAUAUUUUAAAUGAUUUAGGGACUCUGUACUUGAUGCUGAAAUGUGAACCGGCUGGCACCGGGACAGUGAAACUAGUACUUUUUUUCCCUUAAAGCACCACAGGAAUCAACGUUUCACAAAGCUUUUUUUCCCUUUCUGAAAUAUUCGGUGCAGUCUCCCCCAGAUUUUGCUAGUGCAACCAAGAGACGUCAUGCCGUUAUCAAUUAUAAACUGUAAAUGACAUGUUGUUUUUACAAGACAUAUUAUGCGUCGAUACAUAUCUAUGAAUGGGUUCAAGAAAUUCCGAAGGUUGCGAAACAAUAAGAUUCAUUUAAUUAUGUGGGUUUGGCCACCAAUUUAGCAUUAGGAACUUAUUGUUUAGGAAGCUAUGGUGGGUUUCGUAGUGGGACUUAUCCUGUUUAAUGCAUUUGGUGAUUUUAAACCAACAUAUAUAUAAUUCCAUUAUAAAACUCAUCAAACCUUCUAAAAUAACAUGUUGAGAUAGUGUGCUAGAUCCAUAUAAAUAUUCAUUUCCAUUGAUAGUUUAAUGGGCAAAGCCUUUUGAAUUCUCCAUGUUAUCAAGUUAAUUUUUGCUGGAAAAUGCAAUCCGGAUAUGAAUAGAAUUUUUUGUGCAAUCAAAUUUUCUAUGUUGACACAUCCUCUGGAACUUUCCAUAACUUUUAUGGGGAAGCUUUAAUUUCUUAGUUGUUGAUUUCGAAUAAAAAAUAAACUUAACUUUAAAAUUACAAUUGUAAUUAUAAAAUAUUUACUGAAUACAUUAGUGUUAAUACUACAAAUUGUUCCAUUAAAAGUCUCCCAGAAAGGAAGAAGUGACUUAAAAAAUUAAAAGAAUGCAGGAGCUGAAGUUGGCAAUUUUGUAAAUUGCAAUGGCAAUUGUGGCCUAGUAAAAUCCCUCAAUAAGUCACAGCACUAGCAAUUUCGUAAUAUACAUUAGUGGCAAUUUUGUAAAAUUGAAGUAGUGAUAGUUUUGCAAAUAAAAGUAAAAACUUUUUCCCUAAAUUCGGCUGAGCUAAAAGCCAGCUUAGCCCACACUCUCCUUCGCCACUGGUUGACGAGCUCUUCCUUCAAUUUUUGAACUUGAAGUGAUGCCCCAUCGAUCAAAUAUUUAAGCAGAAUGAUGACGGAGUUACAAACAAUCAAAUAUGAUCCUAAUGAUUCUUUUUAGAGAGUCACCUGUACGUUGACGUGUUUAAUUGAUGUUUAUUUAACCAGAAAUUGAAGUUUGAUCCUGAUUAAUUAGAUGAGAACACACAUUCAUGAGUAAUUACUUAAAAUUAAAUUAAUCAAAAAUAGUAUAAAUACAGGAGAAAAUCGACCAUAUGCGUGCAGACACCACAAUCGAAUUAUAUAUAUCACCGCCGCACAUAAAUCUUAUUCCAAUGAUAUAUGAUUAAUUAAUUAAUUUUUUUAAUAACAAUUAAAUUGUAAUGUCAAUUGUCCACAUAAGAUUUUUUUUUUUGUUGAUGAAAGUUAGCAAUUUUUUUUCCAUUUUUUUAAAUAAUAGUUGUUAAUACAAAUCAAAAAGAUAUUAGCACUUGAGAUCAGGGUCUACUUGAGUUAGAAUUUUUUAUUAGAAAAGUUAUUAGCCAGCGAUGAAAAAUAAAGAAGUAACACAAGAUAAAGAGUAAAAUGAGAGAGUAUGUAUUAUAAAAAAUUUUUAUCCAUUUCAAGUGUGUACCAAACAAAGAGAUGAACUCUCCUUUCAUAAUUACAUAAUUAUUACAUGAAAUUAAUGAAAAUAUUAUGGAUUAUAAUUCCUUGCGAGAUAGUGGGAGUUAUAGAAAAGUCAAGAGUUGUUAGUGGAAGAUAAGAGAGAGAGUAAAAGAUAUAUGUUAUGAAGGUUUACAUUUAUUUUAAUAAAUUCAUAGUAUUUUUUUCCUUAAAUAAUAGGGUGUGGAGAACAAUUGGAAGGACUUUACGUGUGUGUGUAUAUAUUGACAUAGAAAUUGCAGGACGCGUAGUUUAGCGUUUCAAAUAGGUGCUCUCAGUUGGAAUUAUAUAUAGAACAUUAUUUAUGGCAAACAGGUGCUCUCAGGUGCUCUCAGUUUACGGCUUUUUACGGCAAACAGGUGCUCUCAGUUUUCAAAAUCUCGAGCGCGCGGGUUAUUUUUCAUUACCUUUAUCGCCGAAAGGCUGUUUUAACCAACUAAGAACUAAAAGCUAAAACCCAAAACCCCCCUCUUGUUCGUUUCCAGGGACUUUACCUUGAUGGCCGAAAAGCAACUGGAAAUCCUCCGCGGGUACGAGCUGCGGCUCUUGCCCUGCACCCUCGCUCCCCCACCGUCGGACCUUCGCAUUCAAUCGCAACCGUUGAACGAAGAAAGCCAAUGCUCUCUCCUUCCACUCCACGAGCACAUCAACAGCCUCAUCAACUCCAUCGAGUCCGGCCACUAUCUCCAGGCUCUGUCCUCCGAC
rnacentral:lncRNA from 1 species